rnacentral:lncRNA from 1 species
AACUUUGAUUAAGGAGGAGAAUCUGCAGGAGGGAAUAGAUCUGGAAGAACACAUGCGAGCAAUAGCAGCCUCUAAGAUUGCAAUAAUCGUUUUCUCCAAGUCAUACACUGAAUCUACCUGCUGCCUUCUUCAGCUUGAAAACAUCAUUGAAUGCCACGAAACAUUUGGUCAAAUAAUUCUUCCCAUAUUUUACGAGAUUGACCCAUUGGACGUACGUGAUCAGAAGGAUGAUUUGGGAAAAGCGUUGGAAGAAGCUGCACACAAAAGCUAUUCAGGAGAGCAACUGGAGCAUGCAUUGUCCAGGUGGAGCCGUGCACUCACCACAGCUGCAGGUAUCAGUGGUUGGGAUGUCAGAGAUUUCAGGUAAACAGAUGAAUCCUUCGUACUUUCUUCUGUUUGAGAUUGAAUGAAGCAUAUGCUAAGGUUUUAGUAAUACAUUACCCUUCAUCUUCAAGGCAUGAUGCUGAACUUGUGGAGAAAGUUGUUUUCCGCGUUCUUGAAUUGCUGGACUAUAAAGACUUGUCUAUUACCCAAUUUCCUGUUGGAUUAGACUCCCGGAUGGAAAUGGUGAUUGGAGGUAUUGAAAAUCAUUGCAGGAAAGUGUGUAUGAUAGGGAUAUGGGGAAUGGGAGGAUCAGGUAAAACUACCAUAGCCAAAGCCAUCUAUAAUCGAAUUUAUCGUCAAUUUAUUGGUAAGAGUUUUAUUGAAAAUAUUAGAGAAGUUUGGGAUCGAGUAGAUAAAAGGCAUGUUGAUUUGCAAGAAAAUUUUCUUUAUGGUAUCCUAAAACCCAAGCUCGAGGUGGAAAGCGUUGGGAUGGGAAGUACUAUGUUCGAGAAUGGACUUUCUCGAAAAAAGUUGCUGAUUGUGCUUCAUGAUGUGAUUGAGUUUGGCCAAUUAGAAAACCUAUGCGGAAAUCGUGAAUGGUUCGGUCAAGGAACUCUGAUAAUCAUUACAACUAGAGAUGUUUAUCUACUGAACCGACUCAAAGUUGAUUAUGUUUAUCAAAUGGAUCAUAUGAAUGAAAAUGAGUCUCUUGAGCUUUUUAGUUGGCAUGCCUUUAGAGAAGCGAAACCAAGAAAAGACUUCAAUGAACUUGCAAGAAACAUAGUUGCUCACUGUGGAGGACUACCAUUAGUUCUUGAGGUCCUUGGUUCCAUUUUAUGUAAUAAGACAAUAAAAGAGUGGGAAAGUCUAUCGUUAAAAGCAGAAGUAAUUCCCACUAAUAAAAUUCAAGAGAACUUGAGAUUAAGUUUUGACGGUUUAUACAAUGUCACGGAACAGGAUUUAUUUCUUGAUAUAUGUUGUUUCUUUAUUGGUAAAGAGAGAGGUUAUGUGACAGAGAUACUAAACGGGUGUGGACUAUAUGCUGAUAUUGGAAUAACGGUUCUCAUAGAACGUGGUCUUAUAAAAUUUGAAAGGAACAACAAACUUUCAAUGCAUCCUUUGUUACGAGACAUGGGAAGAGAAAUUAUUCAUCAGAGUUGGCCAAAUGAACCGGGGAAAAGAAGUCGAUUAUGGUUUCAGAAUGAUGUAGAACAUGUACUGGAAGAGAAUACUGUAAGAACAUUCUUUAUAUUAUUUUGAAACUUAUUUUCAAAGUGUUUUCAUUUUCAAGUUCAAUGCAUCUGUUGUUACCUUGUUAGACUCAGCAUUCAGUUUCAAUGAUCAAAAGAAAUUGAGAGAUUUCUCAAUUGUAUCUCUUCGCUAUAUUCAUCACAGGGGACAGAAGCUAUCCAGGGACUGUCCCUGAAACUGCAUUCAACCAGCAGAGAUAGCUUCAAAGCUCAUGCUUUCAAGAAAAUGAAGAGAUUAAGACUGCUACAACUGGAUUAUGUACAACUUAUUGGAGAUUAUGGAUACUUUUCUAAACAAUUGAGAUGGAUUUCUUGGCAAGGGUUUCCUUCCAAGUACAUACCAAAUAACUUUCAUAUGGAAAAUGUAAUUGCAAUUAAUUUAAAACAUAGUCAUCUUCAACUCGUCUGGAAACAACCCCAGGUAUUUAUUACAUGCUUUUUUUCUUUUAAAACUCACAUGUUAAUUAAAAUAGAUAUAGUAUAAUUGGUUCAGGUUAUAACUAUUGCAUUCUUCUAUUUUCUUCUCUAAUAUUUUCCAAAAUUACUAUCUUUGUAGGUUUUAAAGUGGCUAAAAUUCCUUAAUCUUAGUCACUCCAAGUUUUUGAGAGAAACACCUGACUUUUCAGGACUACCAAGUCUUGAAAAGCUCAUUCUAAAAGAUUGCCCAAGUUUGUGCAAGGUACACCAAUCCAUUGGAGAUCUCCAGAAUCUAGUACUGAUAAAUUUGAAAGACUGCACAAGUCUAAGCAAUCUGCCCAUAGAGGUAUAUAAGUUGAAAUCUUUAAGAACUUUAAUCCUCUCUGGUUGUUUCAAGAUUAAUAGUACUUCAUUUUGAAGAUUCUAAUUCACUGUGGUGGGUAUUUGUGAGUGGUUAUUGGCUUUUGGAGGCAGUGAAGGUUACUUGGUGAAGUGAAUUCUGUUUUUUUUUUCUCAUGGUUUCCUGUUUGUGUUUUUUUUUUACGUUUUCUUCUUGUAUAUCUAUUGACUUUUGGGCCUUCCAGUUCUGUAUCUUGGGCUAAAGCUCAACCUAUUGUAUUGUGUAAUUUAUAUAUAACGUGCACCAUACAAUGUAAUAACACACAUAGCAGUUUUAUUUUUCAGAAACAAUAUCAUCUUUGAAGGAUUAAGGCACUGCCUUCAAAACAACCACAACAACAUGGAGGAUUUUAGAAAAUAAAAUUGCUACAAAGGCCAAUUUGAAAAGAUGUAGGAUAAUUAUGAGUAAUAGUAUAUGUGGGGAAGAAGAUGAGACAACAUGUAAUAUGUAGAGUGGUUUGGCUAGUACGGGGUGGUAUGUUAUUAAUACGUGUUGUGAAAUAUAAAGGGCAAUGGUUUAUUGGAUUAUGCAGGAAACAAGAAUUAUGGUAAGUUAUACAGUUUAUUGGAUCAUAGCAUGAUGCUUUUUUAGUUUUCAUGGGCUUGCAAGCAUAAGGUAUAGGUUUUCUAUGAUUAUCUUUUUGUUUUUAAUCGUUUUUUUUUUUUAAUAGGAUUGAAAUCUUCAAAUAGUCCAUAUUUAUUAAUUUUUUUUGUCAUAAAAAAAAUUAUAUACAAAACAUAAAAGCCUAAACUAAUUGUCAAUAAAAAGUACACAUGGGUAAUUUUUUAACUAUUAGCGGUAAUUGUCUACAUGGUUAAUUUUUUGAAUUUUUUAAAGAUUAUAUUUAGACAUAUCAAAUGAAUAUUAAUUUAUAAGAAUUAAUUUUAAAAGAAUUCAUAACAAAUUAAAAUAAUUUGUAAGAUCAUGACUAUAUUUGAAAAUAAUUAGUUGAAAAUUUAAAAUUUAAAACAAUUAGGUGACUUUACGCAACAGAAAACAAUAAUGAAACUUAUAAAUGUAAAUUGAAAAAAAAAACAUGAAAUAUUUUAAAAUUAGACAUAAAAAAAUAUAAUCAUUGUAAAUAACGAGAAAUGAAAUCAAACUUUGUUUAAUUUAGUCUUUAAGGGAUGAGGCUACGGUGCUUCUUAUGUUGAAAAAUACGAGAAUUUCUGAAUGCAAUAUUAUAUGCUAAAAAGGCAAAAGAAUGGACAAAAGUAAAAACUACAAAGCAAAUACAAUAAACAGUUCAAGUAAAGCCAAGGAAGCAAGAACUGAGAAACAGGUAAAAUGAGUAUGAAUCUCAUAACUACGAGCUAUACUCAAUGAAAAACAAGGAAAGGAUCAGAAAAGAUAAAUUGCAAUGAAGGACACAAGGAUUAAACAGCAGCUGUCUUUAUAUCAUAAUGCAAUGUCUUAUUUUAAGAGGAUUCCUAUUGAAAUAUUAUAUGCUAAAAGGGAAAAUAAUUGACAAAAGUAAAAUCCAGAAAAAAAAAAAUACAAUAAACAGCUCAAGCAAAGCCAAGGAAGCACCACUGAGGACUGAGAAACAGGGUAAAAUAAACAUGAUUCAAAAAAGAACAUAAAUGACAUACCAGAAAAGUCACAUUACAAUUUUCUUUAUGAAUCUAAUGACGGAAUUUUUCCUUGGCUCACCAUAUAUCAGAUAGACAGCUGUGUUCUUAAUCACCAAAUCGUGACCAAAAUUCACAAAAAUCUCCACCUUGUCACCUGAUCCUAAACUUGACAAUAUGUCAUGCCAAUCUUCAUCAUUAAAGGAAAUUACUGUGCCAUGAUUGUGUAUCUGGCAUGUGCACUUCGUGUAAUUAACAAUUAAGACAGUACUAAGUUCAGGUUCAAUGAUUUCGGAGGUUGAUAAAUAAACAACACACAAAACCAUUCCCUUCACGACACGAUGUUGUGGCACAGUGAAAGAAACACAAUGUCCAUCACCCAUAUGGGCCAACCAAUAAGGAUCAUUGUCACCUGGGAGAGAAACAUCACAUGACUCACUGCUUCCAAAUACCUGUAUCAUGUCAUAAACAAGGGCAUGUUUGGUGAAACAAAAAUGCUAUACGUGAUUAAAACAAAUCUUGUUAAUAGUUUUGUUGUGUAUACAUCCCCAUCUUUUCUUUAGUGAUUUAGAAUGCAUUUCUGUUUUUGUCUUAGUUUAUAUUUCUAGGAUCAAUGGGAAUAAAGAAAUCAUGAAGCUAGUAAAGCAAGAAAGUGGAAAUCAAUUUGGUAGUACUUAGUAUAAGCAUAAUGACUUGUUAGUUGAUAACUAAAAUCAGAUACUUUUAGAUGAAGUCGUGGUGCUAAAAGUUCAGUAUUGGAGGUUCAACUAGAUACUUCAAAAGGAUUAUUUUAUGUUCUCAGAAAUAACAGCUAAAAUGAUGGUUAAGGUAAUAAACAAAGGGAAAGGUAGAGAAGAACCUUAGGUAUGAUAUCGCUUACAGUAUUGAAGAAUUCUUUGUAUCUUCCAACACCAGUCAGAAAAGACUUGAGAUGACUCUUUGAAAUUGCUGAUUCUGUAAUAUUUCCACCAUAUUCGACCACUAUAGUUUUUACUUGCUCAGAUAGAUGAAACUCCGUGUCACAUUCCACCAGAACACUUCGAAGAUUCGCAAGGCUGCUAAGAAAUGGUGCAAUAUCAUCCCUACUAUUAUCCUCCAUUUCUAUAAAGGAAUUAAUAUAAGAUAGAGGAUUCAUUGUUGGCGACAUCUUAGACCGAAUGAUAGAAGGAAAAAGAUUAUGUGACGAUCCCUCAAAUCCACGUAGGGAUAUAUAUCCAAUACUUUUUGGGCUUACAAUUGUAAAAGGCAAUUGUUUCAUAGUUGUAUUUUCAGCAAUUAUAGUUAAGAAGGAUUUCAUUUGCACGAUAUCUUUUUCCAUUAAGUCAAUCUUCGAACAACCAGAUAGAAUCAGAGUUUUUAAACAUUUCAGCUUAUAUAUCUCUUCAGGGAGAUUGCUUAGACUUGUACAGUCCUUCAAAUUUAGCAGUAUAAGAUUGCAGAGAUAUCCAAUAGAUUGGUGUACCUCGCGCAAUCUCGGACAAUCUUUGAGAAUGAGUUGUUCAAGACUUGGUAGUCCGGAAAAGUCAGGGGUUUCUAUCAAGUAAUUGGAGUGACUAAGAUUAAGAACUUUUAGCCACGUCAAAACCUUCAAGAAGAUAAUUUUUGGUAAUAUAUUAGAGAAGAAAACGAGAAAACGAAAUAAUCAUAAGUGGAAACAAGUAAUAAUUUUUAAGAGAAUGGCACGUGAUAAAAACCUGGGGUUCUUUCCAAACGAAUCGAAGAAGACUGUGUUUUACAUCAAUGGCUAUUGCAUCAUGCAGAUAAAAGUCGUUAGGCAGGUAUUCUGAAGAAAACCCUCGCAAACUGAUCCAUCUCAGUUUCUUAAAAUGGUACUCAGAAUCUCGUUUCAGCAGUCUUGAUGGGUCUAUUACCUCUAAAGGAUAGCGUCCGAAGAAAUCUAUUCCGGUAGGCAAUCUCUGAAUGACUUUUGUGCCAUUAGAUGAAAAGAGCUAAGAAAAAGGAAUAUAUUGCACAUGAGAAAGCAACAACUUCCAAACGAAGUUUUAAAACCAUAGAUAAACGAUGUUCUUACCGCAUUCUCUGACAGUGCAUAUUCUGCAUCCGUAUCAAACCACAGUUGACUGUUCUUCCCAGUUUCCUUUCUUGAAAUUUGACGAAUAAUGUCUCUUCCCAUUUCUCGUAGCAACGGAUGCAUUCCUAAUUUGUUGUUCUUAUUAACUUGUAUGAGACUACGCUCUAUCAGAACUCUUAUUCCACUGUCAGGGUCUAUUCCACAGCCAUUUAAGAUCUUCCUAACAUAGGCUCUGCCCUUACCAACAAAGGAACAACAUACAUCAAGGAAUAAAUCUUUUUCCAUUUGAUUGCAUAAACCCUCGAAGCUUAUUUUCAAUAUCUGAUCAAAUUUAAGCUUAGGAAUUUUCUUUAAUUUUAAGAGUACUCUAUUCCAUUCUUCUUUAGUCCUUUCAUAUAAAUAACUUCCAAUGACUUCAAGAGCAAGAGGUAGUCCUCCACAAUAAGCAACUACUCUUUCUGCAAGGAAAUGAUAAUCUUGUUUUGGUUUUGCUUCUCUAAAUGCGUGCCAACUAAGAAGCUCAAGGGACUCGUUUCUGUUCAUUGGAAUCAUCCGAAAAACAGAAUCAGCUUGAUAUAUCCUUGGUAGGUUUUCUGGUCUUGUUGUAAUGAUUAUUACACUUCCUCUUCUGAACCAAUGACGGCAUUCCCAUAGUAAUGUCGCAUCAAACUUAGGCACAUCGUCAAGUACAAUGAGCACCCUUUUCCCAGAAAGUUUUUCCCGAAUCAUACUUCUUCCCAUCUCAAAGCUAUCUAUCUCUACCUUUGUAUUUAGGACAUCUGAAAGGAGUUGUUCUAGUAAACGAAGAUCCCCUCUUAUUCCGCUAACUUGUCCAAUAUCUUCAAUGAAACUUUUGUUCGUGAAUGUACCAUGAAUUUGAUGGUAAAUGGCUUUAGCAAGGGUGGUCUUACCAGAUCCUCCUUGUCCACAUAUCGCUAUCCUACAAACUUCCGUGGAUUUAUAUUUGAUAGUUCGAAUCAGAUCCUCCAUGUGCGAUUGUAAUCCAACUGGAAAUUUAGUAACAGACAAGACUGGUAAACUAAGAACGGUCUUAACAAUGUUGUCCACUAGUUCAGCAUCACUCCUUCAAGGUCAAUAACAAUUAUAGAACAAGUCAUGUAUUACCAAAAUUGAAGUACACGCUUAGUAAGUGAGUGAUUUACCUGUAAUUGCUCUCAUCCCAUCCAAAGAAAUUUGCAGCUUUGGUGAGUGCGUGGCUCCACCUGGACAUGCCAUGCUCCAGUUGUUGUCCUGAGAAUGCUUGCUCUGCAGUUGCUUUGAAGGCUUUUCCAAAAUCACCCAUCUGAAGACGUACAUCAGAUGGCUGGAUUUCGUAAUAAACGGGCAGAACAUGUCGGCGAUAAGUUUGGUGCCAUUUGAUGAUUUGUUGAAGCUGAUGAAGACACCAAGUAGAUUGAGAAUAGGAUUUGGUGAAAACAACAAUUGCUACACGAGAGAGAUUGAGAAUAGGUUGUUGGAUGUGAAGAGGGUUGUCUGCAUUAGGGUGGUUAAGGAAAGUGGUGAAGCCAACAGCAGAGAGAACAGAAUCGAGAUGAGAAACAAAUUUCCUUUGGAUGUCUUCUCCAUUAAAGUUGAUAAGCACAUCGUACAUCCGUGGCAGAUUUGAUGAUGAAGAUGACGAUUCCAUAGAAGAAAUUGAUGAGGUCAACUGUUAGAAGAAGAGAAAGCAAUAAUGCAACACAGUCAAAAAGACUCAAAACCAUUCAAAUUAGCCCAACAUUAAUACAUUUAUUUUUCAUAGUCGUUGAAGCUCGUGAAUUGCAGCACCCAUUUUACUCUAGAAAAAUAAUAUAUUUACAACUUAUUCUAUUAUACAACCUUCAAUUAAAAAAAAAAUUACUUUCAUUAUUUUAUAAAAAACUAAAAUUUUAAACAGAAAAAAAAAAUUAUAUACUAGAAAAGGCUCUCAAUAUAUUAAUAUUAUUUACUUUAGCCAUUUAAGAAAAUAGACCAACACCCACUAUGAACCAAAAAAAAGUAUUACACUAUUUUUUCUAAUUAUAUUCUCCUUUUUCCUAAAUUUACCUAUUAACUUUACUUUUUAUUUUAAAAAGCAUUAUGUUAUCUCUCUUUUUACGUUAGGCACGUAUCUCUUUAAAUUUUAAAAGAAUAAAAAAUAAUACAUUUUCUUUCCACAUAUAUUUAAAGAGGCCACUGUAAUAAUGUAAAAAAUAGAAAGUAUAAAUACAAUUUAGAUAAACGUCACUACACCUGAAUUUAUUUUUUAAAUAAAUAAAAUAAAAGAAUUGGACGUCAGUUUACUAAAAUUUAAGAAGUUUAUUAUCAAUUACUAAAAAUACAAAUGAGGUGAGUGUAAUUGAUUUUAUUAAGAAGACAAAGUAAAUGUAAUUUUCCCUUUUAUUUGAAAUAUAAAAUUAUAUGGUAUUUUUUUUUUUUAUCAACAAUGAAUAAAUUAAUAAAAAAAAGAUACUUUAAGGUAUCCAACCGGUAUAUAAAGUCUCUUAGUUACUCUUCUUUAUGGCUUAAACAAAACCCCGAUAUGCGGCUUAACUUACUUCAUUACAACCCCAAACAGUGUACACUUAACUACAUCCACACAACACCUAUUCUACAAGCAUGUACCAGCCACUUGGAGCAGCAACCAUAGGGUGCGCCAAACAUCUUAGAAAAGUUUGGAGAAAAAGUGGCCUCAACCAAACCAGAUAGGAAAAACAGCAAUCACCCAAUUAAGUUAUGCAGCAACAAUUAACUUGGCCUACAGCUUUGCUAGCACUAAAUUCUGCUGUGUAGAUCAGCAGGUCAAUACCACCAAUUGACUUGCUCAUGGCCACUUACCCUUGCAUGCAGCAACCUUCAACAUCGAGCCUGCUAGUUCCUUCAGCUUAUGCAUCAAAGAGAAAUCAUCUGUGUGUACGGAGGAUGGCAAGGUUAGAAACCUUCUUUCAACCACCUAUACACUAUGCCAAUAGUUACCACACUUCAGCUGCUACAUGACAAAUACCCUGCAACCUUGACUCCAUUAGGCACCCAAUCUGCAUGAAUAAUACACCUGCAGUCCACACCUACACCUAACUUCCACACGUACACAUGAAUAACAUUAUUCCAAUAUCAUUAUGUUAGAAUUAUUAAACAAAUAUAUUUUUAUUGAAAAGUUAGAGGUUGCAGGGUAGGGUUUGAAAAUGGUUCUCUAGUUUCUAUUCUGCAAGUGCAACCAAGCAAUUAUUGUACUUUUACGCACAAUGGCGGAAGUGAAGUGUUUUUUCACAAAUUUUCCUCAUGAGUACGCGAAGAGGGACAUGUGGAAGAUUUUUCAAAGGUGGGGAAGGGUUGCCGACGUCUUUAUCUCAAGAAGACUCAACUCCGGAAACGGGCGUUUCGGGUUUGUGAGUUUUCAAGGGGUGGUGGAUGCACACGCUUUAGAGAGGAGGCUUGAUGCUAUUUGGAUUGGGAUGUGGAAGUUGUGGGUAAAUCUACCUAUGUUUAGCAGGAAGGAAACACUCAAACCUGAGGUGGGUGGCAUAAGGAAGCAUGAACAGGUAAGGAAGACUUGGAGGCAGAAGAAUCAACAAAGAACAUUUGCUCAGGUGGUUAGGGACGGAGAUGAGUCUGCCUCUAAGAAGGUCGAGAACGCGAGCAUGGAUUGCUUCCAAGUUGCAGUAGAGUCUACAAAGUGGUUGGAGGAGUGUUUUGUAGGGAGACUUAUUGAGUUAAAAAAUGUGAUGUCCAUUAAGGAAAGUUUUAUGUUGUGUGGAUUUAAUUCAGUGAAGUUGAGGUCCUUAGGGGAGAAGUUUGUGUUGUUAUCCUCUGAUGAAGUGGGAGUGUUAGAGAAGAUAGUUGUUGGAAACAAAGACUUGUUAGAUGGAAUUUUCGAGUCUCUCGUCCCCUGGGAUGCUAGUUUUGUGGUUGAUGAAAAAUUCGUUUGGGUCCGAUGUAGGGGUGUCCCACUGGCACUUUGGAGUUGCCAGUGUUUCGAAUCUAUUGGGUCUCUUGUUGGUUCGUUAGUAGAGAUUGACAACGCCACGAUAACAAGGGAGGUGGUUGAGUUUGCUCGGUUGCGUGUCAGAAUCCCGAUAGGAAGUGUGGCAAAGUUGGUAAAGCAAGUGCAGAUUAAUGGCAAGUUAUGCAACGUAUCCUUUGAAGAAGAGUUACAGGUUCCGGUUGCCAUGCAGAGGCUCCUUGAUCGUCAAUGGGGAGUGGUUUGUGAGGAAGAAUCCGAAGCAAGCUUAGUUGAAUUCGAAGGAGUUGGUUCUGUCAAUUCUCUAGACUCGGAGCUUGGUGAAGGAUUUGAACCAAAAGAAGGAGAGGAGGAAACGGUUCAGUAUCCUGUGGAGGUGAAUGGAAGCUUGCUAGAUGGUGAAGGUGGCGCAUGCAAAUACAAUCAUUGCGGAAAGGGUCAGUCUAUGCUAGGUGGAGUAAGUGUUAUGUGUAAUUCUAAGUGCAAUAUUAAUUUUGGGGUAAAUCUGUCCAACUUGGGUUAUGAUUUUUCCCACUUUGGUAACCCCACAGUUUCUUCAAAAAAGGUAGAGCAGAGUAAUAAAGUUAGUGGGGCCCAGUCAGAUGGUUGUGCAGAAAAGAAUAUUGGUCUUAAUGACACAUUAAUUUCUCAGGAGAAGGAAUGGUUUGAUGACCUAAUUUGUGUUGUGCCUAUUCUGGCCCAAGAAAGAAACGCGUCUAGGGUUGGGACUGAGUCAGCGGUGGCGGCGGCUGCCACGUGCGUUGUCGCAGGGGAGCUUGCAAGCGUAGAGGCGAUGCGGUCUGCGGUGGUUGGCGGUAAGGAGGUGUCGCGACCUAUAGUGGUUGGCGGCGAAGAGGUGUCGCGGCCUGCACUGGUUGGUGGCGGUUCUGGUGGAUGCUCCGCCUGUCUAAACGGAAGGUUAUCACCGUCCGAUAGGGGCGUUCGCGGAGCGGCGCUUUCCAGCAGUGGAGUUCUUUAUGUGGACUUGAGUGCGGCGGCAAGUGGCAGUCUUGUGUCCACGCCGUCGUCGGCAAUUGGAGCCAAUUCCAUCGACGAAGUCAGAAGAUUGGGAUGGAGCGGAGACGUAGGAGGUUGUGAGGGUGCGAGUCUGGUGAAUGGGAGGGAAGAUGAAGUAGGUCACCAGUUUAGUAGUGCGGUGGCGGACGGUCAGAGGAGUUUAAAUGGAAGUGAAAACAAGGUCUUGAAUCCUUUUUAUUCAAUCAAUGGUGCGACCCGUCAAGUGGAUGGAAGUUUUGUAAGUCGCGAGUUCAACCGUGUCCCUUUGGUCAGUUUUGGAGGAACAGGCUCACAACCUCGAGCUUUGUUGGACAUCAAUGUUAGUCGUGAGUCCUAUGUUCCUCUCAGCCGAAGCAUCGACAGUGCUGUCCAAUAUGGAUCUAGGCUUAAUCGGUUGAAAAACGAUAACUUUGAAGCUGCUAGAAUGUGGAGCAUAGGAAAGGAACUCGGGUUCUCCUUUAUUGGUGACGAGGAAAUUAUUAUUAGCAAGUUAAAACCUUUGGAAAACUGAGACAGCAGUAUGCAGGAAGUUGUUGAGAAGGAGAGCAGUGUUUCAGAUGAUGAAGGUUGUUAGUCUGAAUAUAAGAGGGAUAGGAGGGGGUAUUAAAUGAAAAUAUAUUAAAGAUCUGAUCAGCAAAGAACAGGCAGAUAUGUUAUGCUUACAGGAGACUAAAUGCGACAAGGUUAGUAAGGAGUUGGUUUUUCAUUUGUGGGGAUCUAAUGAUAUUGGGUGGAUUGAAGUUGGUGCUAGAAAUAAUGCAGGAGGGAUCAUAACUAUGUGGAGAAACAACCAAUUCCAACUCGUCAAUUUUGUCAGAGGUAACAAUUUCUCUGCUGUAGAAGGGGUGUGGAAGGGUGGUGGAGGGGUUCAGGUUGUUAUAGUUAACGUUUAUAGUCCAAGCUUGUUGAGGGAAAAGAAGGUUCUUUGGGAAGACAUCGGUGAGCUUAGACGACGCCAGAACAAUAGGGUGUGGUGCGUGAUUGGAGACUUUAAUUCUGUUAGGAGACAAGAAGAGAGAAGGAGUUUAUUCUCCACGUCUGAUUACAGCAGAGAUAUCAGAGGGUUUAAUGACUUUAUUGAAAAUUCUGAGCUUGUGGAUGUACCGAUGGUAGGGAGAAAGUUUACUUGGUACAAGCCAAAUGGGUCAGUUAAAAGUAGAAUUGAUAAGGUCUUGGUGUCCAGGGAAUGGCUGGAUGUGUGGCCGGAUUGUAAACAAUUUGUUUUAAGCAGAAUUGUUUCUGAUCAUUGCGCCUUAGUGCUUAAGGUCUCAAAAGUGGAUUGGGGUCCGAAACCGUUCAGAAGUUUGGAUGCGUGGCAGAGUGACGGGAGGUUUAAAGAUUUUGUCAAGAGCAAGUGGCAUGGUUACGAGGUACAUGGGGGAGGCAUGUUUGUGUUUAAAGAAAAAUUGAAAAAGCUGAAGGCUGAUUUAAAAAUAUGGAAUAGGGAGGUCUUUGGUUAUGUGAACCUUGAAGGGGAUAAGCUGGUCAAGAAAGUUCAAGAGCUGGAUGAAAGAGAUGAUGAAAGUGAUCUAGACGAGCAGGGUAGGGAGGAGAGGCGGGUGUUGCUGGUCAUCAGUGGUUGCAACAUGGGGAUCUCAAUACAAGCUUUUUUCAUUCGGUUAUUAAGUGGAGGAGGGCGAGAAAUGGCUUAAAUGGAGUUUUUGUGGAUGGCCUGUGGUGUGAUAAUACAGAGGUGGUAAAGGAUAAGGUUAGGAAUUUUUUUAAAUCUCGGUUUGAUGAAGUUGAGGGGGUUCCUAUAAGGUUGGAUAAUGUUGCUUUCAGUUCAGUUUCUGGGGAGGAAAAUAGAAUGCUGGUAGAAGAUAUUUCUGAAAAAGAAGUUAAAUUUGCAAUUUGGAGUUGUGAAAGCUCGAAGAGUCCCGGUCCUGACGGGUUUAACUUUGGUUUUUUAAAGUUCUGUUGGGAGAUCUUUAGAGAGGAUGUUCUGAAGGCAGUGAAUGAGUUUGCAGAUAGAGGAAGUUGGCCCAGGGGGUCAAACGUGUCUUUCAUCUGUUUGGUUCCCAAGAUGGACAUCCGCAGCAGCUAAGCGACUUCAGACCUAUUUCUUUGGUAGGUUGUUUAUACAAAAUAGUCUCGAAGGUUUUGUCUCUCCGGUUGAAGAAGGUGAUGAGUAAGUUAAUUGGUCCCAAGCAAUUAGCUUUCUUGGAAGGAAGGGGCAUAUUGGAUAGUGUCCUUGUGGCAAAUGAGGUUUUAGAGGAGGUGAAGCGAAGGAAGAAGAGUUGUGUUUAUUUUAAAGUUGAUUACGAGAAGGCCUAUGACUCUGUAAGCUAGGAGUUCUUAUUCUACAUGCUUGGAAGGCUAGGCUUCUGCGAAAAAUGGAUCAGAUGGAUUAAAUCUUGUUUGGUUUCUUCCUCUGUGUCGGUGCUUGUAAAUGGGAGUCCAGAAUUUUGUCCAAAGAGGGGUCUUCGUCAAGGUGACCCUCUUGCGCCUUUCUUGUUUCUCAUUGUGGCAGAAGGAUUGGCAGGUGUUGUAAGGAUAGCUAUAGAGAAGAAUUUGGUGGAAAGUCUGGAGGUUGGGGCACAAAAGGUUAAGGUGAACAUGCUUCAAUAUGCGGAUGAUACUCUGUUUUUAUGUGAAGCGAAUUUUAAAUCGGUCUGCAAUCUGAAGGUUAUUCUGCACUGUUUUGAAUUAGCCUCUGGUUUGAAGGUUAAUUUCUCAAAAAGUAGAAUUGGAGGGGUGGGGGUUGAUCAUACUGUGAUUCAGUAGUAUGCUGCAAUCCUUAAUUGUGAAGUGAUGAAAACUCCCUUCAAAUAUCUGGGGUUGAUCGUUUGGGGGAGUCACAAGCGAAUCUCGUUUUGGGAUGGUGUAUUAGAAAGAGUUAAGAGCAGGUUGGGUAGAUGGAAAGGCAGAUUUCUCUCGUUGGCAGGGAGAGUGUGUCUUAUUAAGUCGGUGCUUUCUGCCAUUACGUUGUUUUAUUUAUCCAUGUACAAACUGCCUGUUGCUGUGUUAAAGGAGUUUGAAAAGGUACAGAGAAGGUUUUUGUGGGGAUGGGGAGACGAAGGAAGGAAAGUAGCGUGGGUCUCGUGGAGAAAGGUGUGUGAGUGCCUAGAGAAGCUGGUGGUCUUGAAAUUUUGAAUUUAAGGUUUUUCAAUGCAGCAUUGCUGGGAAAGUGGAUUUGGCGUAUGGAGACUGAGAAUGAUGGUCUGUGGAAAGAAAUUCUUGAAUCUAAAUACGGAGGCUGGAGAAAUUUACAAGAACAAAGAAGUAAUGCUAAGGAUUCCAGUUGGUGGAGAGACUUGAAGGGGGUUUGGGGGAUGGAGGAUUGGGGUAAAUCCUUUGAGAAUUGUUGCAAGUGGAGAGUGGGAGACGGGAAGGAUAUUUUGUUUUGGAAAGAUGUUUGGGUGGGCAACGAAGAUUUGAAAAGUAAAUUCCGAAGAUUGUUCUCUUUGUGUGGUAAUAAAGAAGGUAGUUUACAGUCUUGUGGGGAGUAGGUUAAUGAUAGAUGGGAGUGGAAGUUUAUUUGGAGGAGAGGUCUGUUUGAUCGGGAAAUAUAUGCCAGGAAGUCCAUCUGUUACAAGAAGUGCAUGGAAAGACCCCUAUCUUGAUUCUGCAGAUAGUCGAGUUUGGAAGGCUGGUAAGGAUAGUGGUUUCUCGGUAAAAUUUGCCUAUGCUCUUUUAAGAGGCCCUGUUGAGGGAAAAAGUGUGUUUGUCUUCUUCUGGAAGACUCCUGCUUUGCCCUCAGCACAGAUUAUCACUUGGAGGGUGUUGAUUAAUUCGAUUGCCACAAAAGCUAACUUGGAGAGGCGUGAGAUUUUGGUGGAUACCAAUCUAUGUAGUUUUUGCAGGAUGGCUGUGGAGUCGACAAAUCACAUGUUUUUUUAUUGCAGGAUUGCUUGGUUAGUCUGGAAUCAGUGCUAUACAUGUUUAGGGAUUGCGUCGGUUGGCCAUGUUGUCCCAACAACUCACUUCUUGUAUUUUAUUUUGCUAAAUGCUCCUGUCCAAGUUAAUGUAGUUUGGAAUUGUGUUUGGAUUGCUGUACCUAGUAAAUUAUGGAAGCAUAUUUUUCAAGGAGGGGGUGAUCGAUCCUUCGAAAGUGUUCACUUUGGCACAAUUAAAUGUUUGGUCUUGGGUAACUUCUAAAACUGUUUCUGCUAGUUUUACUUACUCUGAGUGGCGUAUUGAUCCUAGGGAUUGUAUGUUUUCAAUAAAGUGAGCUUUUAUAAGAGUUACUCCUUCAAUUGGGUUGUUUGUUGUUCUAAGCUUCUGUUGUUCUUUUUGCCCCUUGAUAUGGUUGCAAAGAGAUUGUAUUGGGUUUGGUUUUGAGUUUGUACGGGUUAGAUUUGAAUUUGUACGGGUUAGUUUUGAAUUUGUACGGGUUAGUCUUGAAAGUGUACGGGCUGUACGGGGUUUUAGUGGUAGAUUUGUUUGUCUCUCUAUUUGUUGGUUUGGGAGACCAGAGAAAUUGUCUCAUAUUUUUUUAUGUAUCUAUAAGGGUUGAACCACCCCUUAAGUGGUUCCUGUUAUUCAAUCCUUUUUGCUGAUAAAAAAAAAUAUAUUUUUAUUGAAAAUAAGUUGGAAUUAUCUUAAAUGCAUGACAAGUUAUUUAGGUUAGUUUGUUAAUAUAUUUAAUUUUCUAUUUUAAAUUAUUGGGCUUUGCUUGUUUGACCCAACUUUCCUUUUCUGUUUCAGCUAGGUCUUAAUAUUUUUCUUAUAUAUACACCAUGUAUUUUACUCAAUAAUAUACAAGUGAAUAAAAGUUUCUUUUAUAUUUAUUUUUCUCUACAAUUAGGGUUCAUCAAAACCUCUCUUUCUUCAUUACGAUUACGUGUGAUUACGUACGCUACAUUAAAGCAUCACAUCAGACAAGGAAUAUUCAUCUUCAUUUACUGUAAUAUGGUAUCAGAGCUCAUCGAAUGAAGAGUUCUGUUGCGCUUCUCUCUGAUUUUUAUUUCCCUCUUUGCUGUUCUUGGUUAUUUUUUAUUUUUUUUGUUCUCUUUCAAAAUCUUGAUUGGUUUUAAAAUCUUUUAGGCAAUGUUUAAUGAAAACCCUAGUCUUCAUAGUCUUAAUAGUAGUCACACUAUUACAUGCAAUUUUUGUGGUAAAUAUGGUCAUACUGAGGCUUUUUGUUUUCGCAAAGUGGGUUUUCCUUUUGUUAAUGUUAAAACCUCGAAGUUUUCUUUUACAUGAAAAGUCUGCACUUUUUGUAAUCGUCUUCGCCACACUGUCGACACCUGUUAUAAAAAGCAUGGGUUCCCUCCUGGCUACAAAUUCACCAAUUGGACAUCCCAAGCCAAUAAUAUGAUUACUACUGACACUUUUUCUAAACUUUUUCCUAAAGAACAGGAUGUAAAGGGGAUUCAACUUACAUCACAAUAGUGUCAAUUCCUUACCAACAUUUUGCGUCAGCAAAACCUUGAGGAUCCUGCCCCUCACACUCAAAUUAAAGUCGGCACCAUCUCUACGGAUGAAAUCCUUAAUACUGAGCAUUCUUCAAUAGGUAAGUUUCUCUCUUCAUUAUCUUCUAUAAAAGAAUCUUGAAUUAUUGAUUUUGGUGUCACUGAUCAUGUUUGUCACAAUUUGAACGUUUUUACUACUUAUACUAAAAUUAAACUUGUCUUAAUUAGUCUUCCAAAUGGCCAAACUGUUUAUGCCACAUAUUCUGGUUUAGUACGUUUUUAUGAUAAGUUUCAUUUGUGUGAUGUGUUAUACGUGCCUCAUUUUCAAUUAAACUUAAUAUCUGUUUCUAAACUCACACACCAACUUAAAUGCACUUUAACUUUCACUUCAACCCACUGCAUUAUACAAGACAAUCUCACCCAAGAGAGGAUUGGUACAGUUAAAGCCACCGCUGGCUUGUACCUUGUCACUACCUUGCCUGCUUCUAGUCGUUCUAAACCGCAUUGUUUUGCUCAUUUUAUUAAUUGUAAUAUCACAGACAAAACACUAUGGCAUUAUAGACUAAGACACCCUUCACAUGAAAGAUUACAUGUCUAAGCAAACAAUACUAUUUUAUUACUGUUGAUACUCAUCAUGUAUGUGACACUUGUAGUCGUGCAAAACAGAGAAAACUUCCUUUCACUUUAAGUAAUAUUGUUACCUCUGCUAUUUUUGAUCUUGUACACUUUGAUAUUUGGGGACCAUGCUCCAUAAUUUCUAUGCAAGGUUUUCGUUAUUUCUUGACUAUUGUUGAUGAUUACUCGCGUUAUACUUGGGUUAUUCUGCUGCAUAACAAAUUUGAAGUGCGUCAGCACAUCAUUAACUUCACUGUUUUCGUUCAAAAUCAUUUCAAAACUAAUAUCAAAACGAUUCGUACUAACAAUGAUGUUGAGUUUGCUAUGUCAAAUUUUUAUGCUUCAAAAGGUAAUUAUACAUCAAAAAUCUUGUGUUGAAACACCACAACAAAAUGACAUUGUAGAACUAAACAUCAACACAUACUAAAUGUAACCCGGACUUUACUUUUUCAAGCAAAUCUUCCUCCUAUUUUUUGGGAAUUUGCUGUAAAUUAUGUUGUUUUCUUAAUAAAUGUUAUUCCUACUCCAUUACUUAAUAACAUCACUCCUCAUGAAAAGUUGUUUGGAAAACCAUAUGACAUUUCAUUUCUAAAAGUGUUUGGUUGUCUCUGUUAUGCUAGUGCCAUUACUGCACAUAUGAAAAAAUUAGAUGAUAGAUCUAUCAAAGGUAUUUUUCUUGGCUUCCCGCAAAAUACAAAGGGUUAUAUUAUCUUAAAUUUAAAUUUUCAUAGCAUAGAGAUAUCAAGACAUGUAAUCUUUCAUGAAAACCACUUUCCAUAUAAAUUGGACAAUGGCUUGCCUAAGGACCCUAACACUUUAUCUCUCCCUAUUUCUAAUGCAUAUAAUUCUGCUUUUGAUUUUUUUUUCUGAUACUGCAUCUCCUGUCGAGCAAUGUGCCUCUACUCCUGCACCCAAUACUGUCCCUCCACCAACCUCAUUAUCCUAUGAUCUUCCAACAAAUAGUGCCUCUGCUCCUGCAUCCAACAUUACACCUCCAUCAGAAUUAUCAUCGCCUGCAUCUUCAGGAAGCAUCUCACCCCAAUUUUCAAGAAGAUCAGCUCGUCCUCACCAAGAACCUGCCUAUCUUGCAGAUUUCCACACUGCAACCAACAUUGUAAGUAGUAGAUAUCCUAUUCAUAAUUACUUGUCUUACAAUUCCUUAUCUUCCAAUUUUAGAAAUGUUAUUUCCUCUAUCAAUUCUCAUCCUGAACCUCAAACAUAUAACGAAGCCUCCAAACAUGCUUCUUGGAAAUCUGCCAUGCAAGAUGAGCUUCAAGCUCUUGCUGCUAACAAUACUUGGCAACUUACCCCUCUCCCUUCAGGAAAGAAAACAAUUGGUUGUAAAUGGGUAUAUAAAAUAAAAUACCAUUCAGAUGGCACUAUUGAGCGCCACAAAGCUAGAGUUGUUGCCAAAGGGUUCACCCAACUUGAAGGACUUGAUUUCUUAGACACUUCUGCACCUGUUGCUAAACUCACAACCCUUCGCCUUCUCCUUGUUGUUGCCACUACCAAAAAUUGGAUUUUAAAACAACUUGAUGUCAAUAAUGCCUUUUUUCAUGGUGAUCUCCAUGAAGAGGUAUACAUGAGCCCCCCACCUGGCCUCUCUCUUCCUCCUCCCUAGCAUGUUUGCAAGCUUCAACGGUCUUUGUAUGGCCUUCGUCAAGCUGGUCGCCAAUGGUACGCCAAACUUUCUACUUUUCUUUUAUCAAAUAAUUACUCUAUUUCUGUUGCUGAUCACUCUCUUUUUCUUAAAUAUAAUAAUAAUAAACUCACUGUUAUUCUUGUUUAUGUUGAUGACUUGGUCUUAACUGGUGAUGACACGGAGGAAAUCAAUACAAUUACUGCAUCCCUUCACCAUCACUUCAAGAUAAAAAAUUUAGGUAAUCUCACUUACUUUUUGGGACUGGAAAUUGCUCGCAACAGUACUGGUCUUCAUUUAAGUCAACGCAAGUAUACUUUUGAUCUCCUUCAAGAAACUGGCAUGCUUGACUCUGCACCUGUGGCCACUCCUAUGACUCACACCUCCCGUCUCUCUUCCGACCAAGGCUCACCUCUCGAUGCUGAUGCCACUUCCCAAUACAGAAGACUCCUUGGACGUCUAAUUUACUUAACCAACACGCGACCAGGCAUCGCCUUCGCUGUCCACAAUUUAAGCCAAUUCAUAUCUGCACCCACAACUCAUCAUCAGCAAGCUGUCUCACGUCUUUUGCGUUACCUCAAGGGCACCCCUGGUGAAGGACUAUAUUUUUCUGACACUAGUUCACUUCACCUCUGUGGUUUUAGUGACUCUGACUGGGCAACAUGUCCUACCACACACAAAUCUAUCACUGGAUAUUCCAUCUACUUAGGAGACUCCCUAAUAUCAUGGAAAUCAAAGAAGCAGCCAACUAUAUCUCGCAGCUCCUUUGAAGUCGAGUAUAGAGCCCUUGCUACCACCACAUGUGAGUUACAAUGGUUGUCUGACCUCCUUCAAGAUUUACAUCUUUCUCUCUCCCAGUCUGCAACCCUAUACUAUGACAACAACUCUGCCCUUCAAAUAGCUUCCAAUCAAGUUUUUCAUGAACGAACCAAGCACAUCGAAAUUGAUUGCCACCUAGUUCGUGAAAAACUUAACUCUGGUCUCCUCAAACUACUGCCCAUUACUUCUGCAAUGCAAGUUACUGACAUAUUCACCAAGCCCCUUGCUUCCGCACAAUUCUCUACUCUCAAAUCCAAGUUGGGCCUGAAAAAUAUCUACUCCCCAGCUUGAGGGGGGUGUUAAUAUAUUUAAUUUUCUAUUUUAAAUUAUUGGGCUUUGUUUGUUUGACCCAACUUUCUUUUUCUGUUUCAGCUAGGUCUUAAUCUUUUUCUUAUAUAUACACCAUGUAUUUUACUCUCUAAUAUACAAGUGAAUAAAAGUUUCUUUUAUAUUUAUUUUUCUCUACAAUUAGGGUUCAUCAAAACCUCUCUUUCUUCAUUACGAUUACGUGCGGUUACGUACGCUACAUUAAAGCAUCACAUCAGACAAGGAAUAUUCAUCUUCAUUUACUGUAAUAAGAGUUGUCGAGUUUAUAGUUGAAAACUAAAUAAUAAUUUAACUGCAGAAAACUCUCAGACACUCAAGUUCAUAAGAGUUAUGAAUGAAAGCAAAAUAAUAAUAAAAUAUUAAAUUGAACUAAAAAUAUUUCCCAAAGUGAUGUGUAAACUUUAAACCCUAAACUAGAUAACUUAUCUCAAUCAUUCUUAUUGUUCUGAGUGGAUAUUAUUAUAGUCAAUGAGGAUGAAUAUUCAUGGUCUGAUGUGGUACAUCAAAUGGAGCACAUGUAAUCGCACGUAAUCGCAAUGAAGAAAGGGAGGUUCUGAUGAACCCUAAUUGCAAAUGAAAAAUAGACAAUGACUUAAGCAUAAAAGAGAGAUAAUAAAAUACAAAAGAAAUUAUUAUUUACUUCUGUAUUAGAGAGUAAAAUACAUGGUGUAUAUAUAAGAAAAAGACUAAGACCUAGCUGAAACAGAAAAGGAAAGUUGGGCCAAACAAACAAAGUCCAAUAACUUAAAACAGAAAAACUAAAUAUGUUAACACCCCCCUCAAGCUGGGGAGUAGAUAUUCGUCAGGCCCAGCUCGGAUUUGAGAGUAGAGAACUGUGCGAAAGCAAGAGGCUUGGUGAAUAUGUCAGCAACUUGCAUGGCGAAGUAAUGGGCAGCAAUUUGAGGAGACCAAAGUUAAGUUUAUCACGAACUAGGUGACAAUCAAUUUCGAUGUACUUGGUGCGUUCAUGAAAGACUUGAUUGGACGCUAUUUGAAGGGCAGAUUUGUUGUCACAAUACAGGGUUGCGGGAUGGGAGAGAGGAAGAUGUAAAUCCUGAAGGAGGUAAGACAACCAUUGUAGCUCACAUGUGGUGGUGGUAAGGGCUCUAUACUCGGCUUCAGAGGAGCUGCGGGAGAUAGUUGGUUGCUUCUUUGAUUUCCAUUAUAUUAGGGAAUCUCCUAAGUAUAUGGAAUAUCCAGUGAUAGAUUUCUGUGUGGUAGGACAUGUUGCCCAAUCAGAGUCACUAAAACCAAAGAGGUGAAGUGAGCUAGUAUGAGAAAAAUAUAGUCCUUCACCAGGGGUGCCCUUGAGGUAAUGCAAAAGACGUGAGACAGCUUGUUGAUGAUGAGUUGUGGGUGCAUAUAUGAAUUGGCUUAAAUUGUGAACAGCGAAGGCGAUGUCUGGUCGCGUGUUGGUUAAGUAGAUUAGACAUCCAAGGAGUCUUCUGUAUUGGGAAGUUAAAUCAGCAUCAAGAGGGGAGCCUUGGUCGGGAGAGAGACGGGAGGUGUGAAUCAUAGGAGUGGCCACAGGUGCAGAGUCAAGCAUGCCAGUUUCGUGAAGAAGAUCAAGAGUAUACUUGCGUUGACUUAAAUGAAGUUCAGAACUAUUUCGAGCAAUUUUCAGUCCCAAAAAGUAAGUGAGAUGACCUAAAUUUUUUUAUCUUGAAGUGAUGGUGAAGGGAUGUAGUAAUUGUAUUGAUUUCCUCCGUGUCAUCACCAGUUAAGACCAAAUCAUCAACAUAAACAAGAAUAACAAUGAGUUUAUCGUUAUUAUAUUUAAGAAAAAGAGAGUAAUCAGCAGCAGAAAUAAAGUAAUUAUUUGAUAAAAGAAAAGUAGAAAGUUUGGCGUACCAUUGGCGACCAGCUUGACGAAGGUCAUACAAAGACUGUUGAAGCAUGCAAACAUGUUGGGGAGAAGGAAGAGAGCGGCCAGGUGGGGUAGUCCAUUAUACCUCUUCAUGGAGAUCACCAUGAAAAAAGGCAUUAUUGACAUCAAGUUGUUUUAAAAUCCAAUUUUUGGUAGUGGCAACAACAAGGAGAAGGCGAAGGGUUGUAAGUUUAGCAACAGGUGCAGAAGUGUCUAAGAAAUCAAGUCCUUCAAGUUGGGUGAACCCUUUGGCAACAACUCUAGCUUUGUGGCGCUCAAUAGUGCCAUCUGAAUGGUAUUUUAUUUUAUAUACCCAUUUACAACCAAUUGUUUUCUUUCCUGGAGGGAGAGGGGUAAGUUGCCAAGUAUUGUUAGCAGCAAGAGCUUGAAGCUCAUCUUGCAUGGCAGAUUGCCAAUAAGCAUGUUUGGAGGCUUCGUUAUAGGUCUGAGGUUCAUGAUGAGAAUUGAUAGAGGAAAUAAUAUUUCUAAAAUUGGAAGAUAAGGAAUUGUAAGACAAGUAAUUAUGAAUAGGAUAUCUACUACUUACAGUGUUGGUUGCAGUGUGGAAAUCCACAAGAUAGGCAGGUUGUCGGUGAGGACAAGUUGAUCUUCUUGAAAAUUAGGGUGAGGUGAUUCCUGGAGGUGCAGGCGGUGAUAAUUCUAGUGGAUGUGCAAUGUUGGAUGCAGGAGUAGAGACACAUGGCUCGACAGGAGGUGCAGUAUCAGAAAAAAAAAAAAUCAAAAGCAGAAUUAUAUGCAUUAGAAAUAGGGAGAGAUAAAGUGUUGGGGUUCCUAGGCAAGCCACUGUCCAAUUUAUAUGGAAAGUGAUUUUCGUGAAAGAUUACAUGUCUUGAUAUCUCUAUGCUAUGAUACUUUAAAUUUAAGAUAAUAUAACCUUUUGUAUUUUGCGAGAAGCCAAGAAAAAUACCUUUGAUAGAUCUAUCAUCUAAUUUUUUUCUAUGUACAGUAAUGGUACUAGCAUAACAGAGACAACCAACACUUUUAAAAAGGAAAUAUCAUACGAUUUUUCAAACAACUUUUCAUGAGGAGUGAUGUUAUUAAGUAAUAGAGUAGGAAUAACAUUUAUUAAGAAAACAACAUGAUUUACAGCAAAUUCCCAAAAAAUAGGAGGAAGAUUUGCUUGAAAAAGUAAAGCCCAGGUUACAUUUAGUAUGUGUUGAUGUUUACGUUUUACAAUGUCAUUUUGUUGUGGUGUUUCAACACAAGAUUUUUUAUGUAUAACUCCCUUUGAAGCAUAAAAAUUUGACAUUGCAAACUCAACAUCAUUGUCAGUACGAAUUGUUUUGAUAUUAGUUUUGAAAUGAUUUUGAACGAAAACAGUGAAGUUAAUAUUGUGCUGACGCACUUCAGAUUUGUUAUGCAAAAGAAUAACCCAAGUAUAACAUGAGUAAUCAUCAACAAUAGUCAAGAAAUAACGAAAACCUUGCAUAGAAAUUAUGGAACAUGGUCCCCAAAUAUCAAAGUGUACAAGAUCAAAAAUAGCAGAGGUAACAAUAUUACUUAAAGUGAAAGGAAGUUUUCUAUGUUUUGCACGACUACAAGUGUCACAUACAUGAUGAGUAUCAACUGUAAUAAAAAAAGAGUAUUGUUUGCUUAAGACGUGUAAUCUUUCAAGUGAAGGAUGUCCUAGUCUAUAAUGCCAAAAUGUUUUUUCCGUGAUAUUACAAUUAAUAAAAGGAGAAAAAUAAUGCGGUUUAGAACAGCUAGAAGUAGGCAAGGUAGUGACAAGGUACAAGCCAGCAGUAGCUUUAAUUGUACCAAUCCUCUCUUGGGUGAGAUUGUCCUGUAUAAUGCAGUGGGUUGAAGUGAAAGUUAAAGUACAUUUAAGUUGGUGUGUGAGUUUAGAAACAAAUAUUAAGUUUAAUUGAAAAUGAGGCACAUAUAACACAUCAGACAAAUAAAACUUAUCAGAAAAACGUACUAAACCAGAAUAUGUGGCAUAAACAGUUUGGUCAUUUGGAAGACUAAUUAAGACAGGUUUAAUUUUAGUAUAAGUAGUAAAAACGUUCAAAUUGUGGCAAACAUGAUCGGUGGCACCAGAAUCAAUAAUCCAAGAUUCUUUUAUAGCAGAUAGUGAAGAAAGAAACUUACCUGUUGAAGAUUGCUCAGUAUUGGAGAUUUCAUUCGCAGAGAAGGUGCCAACUUGAUUAAUUUGAGUGUGAGGGGAAGGAUCCUCAAGAUUUUGCUGACGCAAAAUGUUGGUCAGGAAUUGACACUGACACUAUUGUGAUGUAAGUUGAAUCCCCUUUACAUCCUGUUUUUUAGGAAAAAAAACUCAGAAAAAGUGUCAGUAGUAAUCAUAUUAUUGGCUUGGGAUGUCCAAUUGGUGAAUUUGUAGCCAGGAGGGAACCCAUGCUUUUUAUAAUAGGUGUCGACAAUGUGGCCAAGAUGAUUACAAAAAAAACAAACUUUUCUAGUAGAAGAAAACUUUGAGGUUUUAACAUUACCAAAAGGAAAAUCCACUUUGCAAAAACAAACAACCUCAGUAUGACCGUAUUUACCACAUAAAUUGCAUGUAAUAGUGUGACUACUAUUAAGACUAUGAAGACUAGGGUUUUCAUUAGACAUUGUCUAAGAGAUUUUGAAACACAAUCAAGAUUUUGAAAGAGAACAGAAAAGAUAACCAAGAACAACAAAUGGGGAAAUAAAGAUAAGAGAUAAGUGCAGUAGAACUCUUCAUUCGAAGAGCUCUGAUACCAUAUUAUAAUCAAUGAAGAUGAAUAUUCCUUGUCUGAUGUGGUGCAUCAAAUAGAGCACAUCAAAUAAGAACCCUAAUUGCAAAUGAAAAAGAGACAAUGACUUAAGCAUAAAAGAGAGAAAAAUAGAUAAAAGAAAAUACAAAAAAAAAUUAUUUACUUAUGAGAGAGUAAAAUACAUGGUGUAUAUAUAAGAAAAAAGAUUAAGAGAAACAGAAAAGAAAAGUUGGGUCAAACAAACAAAGUGUAAUAAAUUAAAAAAAAACUAAAUAUUAAAUAUGUUAACAGAUAUUAGUUAUAUAUUUUCCUAUAUUAGGUAGUAGAAAACAUUUUAUUUUUCUUAAUUUAUACUCACUUGGAAUUAUAGUUUGCUGGUCUAGUAUGUCUAAAUAAAAAAAACAUGUAAAGUUAUCUCAUUUUAACUUUUUUCAUCUAGUUUGCUCAUGUCAUUUAGUUAUUAUACUCAACAGUUUUAUCCUCUCUCUUUUUUGUUUCUCAAAGUUUUUUUUCUCUAAAAUCAUUGAAGUGUUUAACAAGGUUCUUAUUCCGCUGUUCCAUAUUUAACUUGUGACAAAAGCUCAAAAGUGUCAAUGAUCUUGAAAUAAAAGCGUGUUUGGUGAUGUUAAUAAAAUUUGUUAGUUUAAUUACCUUUUUCGUCUUUUACAUUAGAGUUAAUAGUUAAAUAGUUAAUUUAGUAAAGAUGUUUAUGUAUCAGAGAAAAGUGAUUACCAGAGAAAAGUGAUUACGUGGAUUGUAAAGUAAAAACACGUCAGAUUAAUGUUUAGGGUUUGAAAUAAUGAGAUUGAGAGAAACGUUUUGAAUGCUGGCUUCUUCACAUAAACGAGGAUGUUGACAGAAACAGGGGAGGAGUAAUUAGCGUUUGGGAUUUAUGGUUGCGUGGUGGAAGAGUUUGAAGAAAAGUUUAGCUAAUUUGUUGAGUUGUCCCAUUGUGUGGUUGUGUGGUGGAAGAGUAUGGUGAGGGUGUAAGCAUAAAUGGAGAAGAUGUUAGAGAGAGUAAGUGAGGAGAGAGAAAGGUGGAGUUGUUGAGAGGAAUAAGAAAAUAGGGUAAAAUCUGCAAUCUGACAGAGGAAGAUGAUGAAGAUAAAGGAUUACCCACCCUUAGUUUUUUAAAUAAUUCAGAAGAAGAUAUUUUAUUAUCUUUACUGACAAUUAUAUUUAUAAUAUGACAAUUAUAUUUAUAAUACUUACAGUAAUAAAUUCUUAACUAAUUUAAUGAGCAGUUACCUAAAGAUAUUAAAUUAACAAUUAAAACAGAAUAAUAAAAUAUGACAUGUACUUAUGUACUUGCAGUUAAAAAACAGAAUUUUCAACACAGAUGACCCAUGUGACCAACUUCUAGAGAAUUCUAGACUCAACUACAAUUAUAGAUUGCCCAUGCCAUAACUCCAGUUAUUAGAUUCGACUUUUUCAAGUUAAAAUAUAAAUAUGCAUUAUUAUUUUCUCUCAAAUAAAUAUCUUCUUAAAAUAAAUUUAAACAACAAAUGUGAAAUUUGUUAAUUUUCUUUUAAAUUUUAACUAGGAGUUUGGUUCCAGGUUUAAUUAUGGAAUAGAAUUUCUUUCACACUGUAAUAACAAAAAAAUAAUCAUUCCAUAACUAUAAUAAAUAUUAUAUUAUAAUAAAAUAAUAAUUUUUUUUAUAUGAAAUUGAUAAAGUUGGUAUCAAAAUAUAUUUGUCUUUUAACAUUGUAUAUAAAACAAGACAAAUAAACUUAUUAUCUUAAAAUUUCAGAUUAGAAAUAUUAUUUUAUUCUUUUAUAUAUAAUUUUUAUGAUUUAUCAGUGAUUAUCAUGAUGUUUUGGAUUAGAAAUGUUAUAGAGAUUUGUCUAACAUUUCUAAUUAUUAUAAGAUAAUUCUGAUUAUUAAGUGUAGAUAUAGAUGUAGAUUAUUAUUUUAAUAUAAAUGAAUUAUAUAAAUGAAAUGGAGAGGGGAGGGGUAUAUUUGUCCGUUAAGGGAGAAAUGAGGAAAGAGGGAUCUGUAUAAUGAAUUAUGGUUGUGCAGAUGGUUUGGCGAGUGAAUCAGAGUCACUAUCUCUCUCUUUCUCUUACACUACACAGUGGAACAACUCACCACACUAACUAAACUUUUUUCACUCUAUAAUUAAAUAGUGAAGGUCAAGAAAUGGGAUUAAUGAUUUGCUAGAGAAUAGUCAAUGGUGUCAGGAUCAAGUGGUUGUUAAGGAAAAGGUUAGACAAUUUUUUCAGGGAGAGAAUAGCAACAAGUCAGGUUAGAUAAUACAAAUUUUAAAACUAUUCAUGGAGAAGAUGAAAUGUUGGUAGGAAGUAUUACAGAAGAUGAAAUGUUGUGACGACUUUAAUUUUGGUUUUAUAAAAUUUGUUGGGAAGAGAUCAAGAAUAAUAUACUCACAUAAAGUUAUUGAUCUUAGGCAGUCAACACUCAUAUAAUGUAAGGGUUUAAUGGAUAGUGUUAUGGCCAACGAAGUUCUACUGAAGAGAAAAAAGAAUAUUUUUUAAAGUGGAUUACGAGAAGGCUUAAGAGUCACUAAGAUGAGAGUUCAUCUACUAUAUGUUAGGAAAGUUAGAUUUUUGUGAAAGAUGGAUAGUCUGGGUAAAAGCAUGUUUAGAAUCAUCUUUGGUGUCAGUAUUAGUGAAUGGGAGUCCAACUCAGGAAUUUAAACCACAGAAGGGACUGAGACAAGGAGACCCCUUAACACAUUUCUCGUGUCUUAUAGUUGUAGAAGGAUUAGUAGGGGUUUUAAGAAAAGAAGUUGAGAAAAAUAUGAUAGAAAGUAUGGAGAAUGGGGAUAAGUUGGUUAAGGUGAAUAUGCUACAAUACAUGGAUGAUACACUAUUUUUCUGUAAAAUCAAUACUCAAAGUGUGUUUAUUAUAAAGGUAAUUCGAAACUGCUUUGAAUUAGCAUCUGACUUUAAGGUAAAUUUUCAAGGUAAAUUUUCUAAAGAGUAAAAUUGGAGGGGUGGUAGUUAAUCACAAUCUGAUUCAAUGUUUUGCGAAAAUUCUUAAUUGUGAUGUGAUGAAAACACCAUUUAAAUAUCUGGGAAUGUUAGUUGGGGGGUGCCACAAGAGAUAAAUUCUGGAAUGUGAUGGAAAGAAUGAGGAAUAAAUUUGGUAGAUGGAAAGGUAAAUUUAUAUCUAUGGCAGGUAGGAUAUGCUUAAUUAAAUUAGUGCUUUCAUCUCUCCCUCUGUUUCAUUUAUCUUUAUAUAGAAUGCCAAUAAUGGUAAUGAAGGAGAUAAUGAAAUUGCAGAGAAAAUUUUUAUGGGGUUGGAGUUCGGAAGGUAUGAAAAUAGCAUGGGCUUCAUGAGAAAGUAAAUUUGAUGAUAAUAUAACUUGAGAGGUAGGAAAUGGGAUGGAGAUUAGUUUUUGGGAAGAUAAAUGGGCGGAUAAUGAAGAACUAAAAAAUAAGUUCCCGAGAUUAUUUUCUCUAAGCACAAUCAGAUAUUUUUAAGUUGUAUCAUGUUAGGGAGUGGAAUAAUAACAAUUGGUUAUAGAAGCGGAGAAGGAAUUUAUUUGAGUGGGAAAAGAACCAAGCACAUCAAUUGACACAAGUUUUGGAAGACACAAGUUUAAACAUGGAAAAAGACGAUAAGUGGGUAUGGAAGUAAGGAGAGACAUCAAAUUAUACGGUUAAAUCAGCAUAUAGAAUCUUAAAGGGUGAAGUAGAGGGGAAAGGCAAGUCCAUGUACGAGAAUUUUGGAGAAUUAAGGCACUGCCUUCAACAUAUACCACAACUUGGAGGGUUUUGGAAAAUAAGAUUAAUACAAAGGUUAAUUAGAAAGAUGUGGGAUAGUUAUGGUGAGUAAUAUUUGCAAUAUGUGUGGGAGGAUGAUGAGACAAUAUGUCAUUUAUUUUUUAAGUGAAGAGUUGUUUGACUAGUACGGAUAUGUUAUUAAUAUAUGUUGUGAAAUAUAAUGGGCAAUGGUUUAUUGGAUUAUGAAGGAAAGAAGAAUUGUGGUAAGUUAUACAGUUUAUGGUUGAGAGGGGUGGUUUGAUGCAGGUACGUGCCUAGUACAUUGUAGCAGUGAAGGUAUGAACAUUGUAGCAGGAUUGGUGUUGGUGGAUCAAGUGCUAUCAACAUGGUGGCCAUUUGAGAAAAGAAAGGGCAUCGAGGAUCAUAUGUUUCAAUGGUUUUUUCUGGUGAGGAACUUGUGCAGCAGGCUCAAAUCUGACUCACUAUUUGGCACAAAGUUGUUUUCAUUAUUUGAAAAACUUUUGGUAUAAAGAAUGGUUAAUUAGAUGUAUCUGUUAAUUAUGUCCUGCUUGAGUCUUGCUGGUUUUCGCUUCUCCUUCACUGGUUUCACUAGAUGGAUGGGGUUGUGUGGGUUAUGACUCACCUUUAUUGUUAUCUUGGCAUUAAUGGGAGGUUACUUGCCACACUAAAUUGCAAUCAAUGGGAGGUUAAUUGCCACAAUCAAUUGCAAUCAAUGGGAGGUUAAUUGCCACAAUCAAUUGCAAUCAAUGGGAGAUUAAUUACCAUUAAUUGUAUUUAUUAUUGUUGUCUCCUAGAACCACUAUAUAUAGUGGCUUCCUUCAAGCAAUGUAACACACAACAUACAGCAACACACACUUGCUUCCUCUCUCUUUUCCUAUACUCUCUAUUUCAUCUCUUGGGUGUAAGUGUUUAACCCAUAUAUAAAGAGGAUUUGUUUUGGGGCUAUUUAUCUAUUAGCUAGAGAGGAAUUCAUUGUACUCCCAGUACCAUUAUAGUGGAAGUUUUGGCUCUCUCGCCGGUAGUUUUUUACCUCUAUUUAAAGGGGUUUUCCACCUUAAAAUUCUGGUAUCAUUCUCACUUUACUUGUUACUUUAAUUUCUCAUAAUCUUUGGUUGAAAUUAUCACGCUUCCGCACACGAUAUCCCUACAAAUUGGCAUAAGAGCUUUUUCGAUAAUUCAACCAGGAUCUGUUGUUCAAUAAUGUCGAAAUUGGAUAUUGAGAAAUUUGAUGGUAAAAUCAACUUUGCUAUCUGGCGAGUCCAGAUGCUAGCUGUUCUCACUGAAUGGUUUAAAGAAUGUUCUGGCAGGUAAAAUGAUGAGACCAACCACUAUGACGGAGGAGCAGUGGGAUGAGAUGGAUGAAAAGGCAUUGUCUGCAAUCCAGUUAUGCUUGUCCCGUGAGGUGUUGCGUGAGGUCAUCAACGAGAAAAGUACAGCAGGCAUAUGGAGUAAAUUGGAGUCUAUAUACAUGACCAAAAGUCUUGCAAAAAAACUCCAGUUAAAGGAGCGACUCUUUACACUCCGAAUGUCUGAAGGUACUCCCAUCCAAUCUCACCUUGAAGAAUUUAAUUCCAUCAUAAUUGAUUUGGAAAAUUUGGAUGUUAAAAUUGAUGAUGAGGAUAAAGUCGUUCUACUUAUUGUUUCUCUACCACCCUCGCAUCGACAAUUCAAAGAAAUUAUGUUAUACGGUAAUUAUCUUACCUUAAGCUUUGAUGAUGUCAAGACUAAUUUACUAGCCAAAGAAAAAUUUGAUACUCAAAUUCAUUCUGAAAGUUCUGGUGAAGGAUUAGUAGUUAGAGGGAGAAACCAAGAGAAAGGUAGGAACAAUAAAUAUAAAUCUAGGUCAAAAUCUAGAGGCAAGAACUCCAAAUAUUGUCGUUAUUGCAAGAAAAGGGGACACGAGAUCUCUGAAUGCUAUAAAUUGAAAAAUAAGCAAGAUAGAGAAGAUAACUAAAUGGUAAACAACCAGAAAAAUUUGCCGAAGCUAGUAUUGUUGAAACUAAAUCUGAUGGGGAUUGUUUUGUAGCUUUCAACACUGAACAAAGGUCUAAAAAUGAAUGGAUUCUUGAUUCUGGUUGUACUUUUCACAUGUCUUACAAUAGAGAUUGGUUUACCACAUAUGAACCAAUUUAUAAUGGUCUUGNNNNNNNNNNNNNNNNNNNNNNNNNNNNNNNNNNNNNNNNNNNNNNNNNNNNNNNNNNNNNNNNNNNNNNNNNNNNNNNNNNNNNNNNNNNNNNNNNNNNGCUCAAUACAAAGUUGUUGGUGAAGGAACAAUCAAAAUCAAGACACAUGAUGGAAUUGUUAGAACUUUAACAGGUGUCAGAUAUGUCCCUGAGUUGAAACAGAAUCUCAUUUCCUUAGGCACCCUUGAAUCUCAUGGGUGUAGAUACUCAGCUGAAGGUGGAGUUUUAAAAGUGUCUAAAGGAGCUCUUGUGUUACUAAAGGCAAUUCGAUGUGAUAGUUUGUAUGUGCUGCAGGGUUCAACAGUUACAGGUUCUGUAGCUGUUGCCUCACCCAACAAAGAUAACACCAAGUUGUGGCAUGAGAUUAGGUCACAUGAGUGAGAAGGGAAUUCUAAUCCUCAAGAAGAAGGGUCACCUUGGUAACCACUGUACUGGAAAGGUUGAUUUCUGUGAACAUUGCAUUUUUGGUAAGCAGAAAAAGGUUAGUUUUUCUAAAGCCAUACACAGAACCAAAGGUACUUUGGAUUAUAUUCAUUCGGAUCUUUGGGGUCCGUCAAAAGUUCCCUCCAGAGGUAAAUGUCGUUAUAUGAUGACAAUUAUUGAUGAUUUCUCACGAAAACUGUGGGUGUAUUUUCUCAAACAUAAGAAUGAAGCAUUUUCCACUUUUAAAGAGUGGAAAUUAUUGAUUGAGAAUCAAACUGGCAAGAAGAUAAAGAGGCUAAGGACAGACAAUGGCCUUGAGUUCUGUUCGAAUGAAUUCAAUGAUUUCUGCAAGAAGGAAGGCAUUUCUAGACACUUCACCAUCCCAAGUACUCCACAACAGAACGAGGUUGCAGAAAGAAUGAAUAAAACUAUCCUGGAGAGAGUUCGUUGCAUGUUCUCCCAUUCUGGUUUGAGCAAAUCUUUUUGGGCUGAAGCAGCUUCAACGACAUGCUAUCUGAUAAACCGCUCUCCUAACAGAUCAAAUGAUUGCAACAUUCCAAAAGAAGUUUGGUCAGGUAACCCUGUUGAUUAUUCUAAUCUUAAAAUAUUUGGUUGCCCUGCUUAUUUUCAUGUAAACGAGGGAAAAUUAGAACCUCGUGCUAAGAAGUGCAUUUUCUUGGGUUAUGGCUCAGGGGUUAAAGGUUAUCGUUUGUAUGACCCAGAAUCUCACAAAAUAAUUCACAGUCGGAAUGUGACCUUUAAUGAAAAUGCUAUGCUCUCUUCUGUAAAAGAUACUGUCAUUUCCUCAAUUGAUACAGGUGGCCAGGAAGAGGCUCGAGAGAAAGUGGAGUUUGAGAUUAAAACACCCGCUCAUGAGGAAGACGUUCCCAAUUCCUCCAGUACCCAAGAUGAUCAAGUCAUUACUAUUGAUGGUACAAGUGAACAUUUGAGUCCACAUGAGCAAUGUCCACCUAAACGACGAGGAUUACCACAGUCGUGGUCUAUGGCUCAAGAACUUCCACAACAGAGACCAAGAAACCAACUCAAAGAUUAAUUGCAGAAUUUGCCAACAUUGCUUAUGCUUUAACUAUUGCACAAGAGAUGGGUGAAGAAGGUGAACCCAAUAAUUACUCUGAAGCUAUCUCUGGUGACGACUAAACAAAGUGGAUUGCUGCUAUGCAAGAAGAAGUUGAGAGUCUUCUAAAAAACGAAACAUGAGAAUUGGUGAAGUUACUAGAAGGAAAACGAGUCAUUAGUUGCAAGUGGAUCUUUAAGAGAAAAGAAGGGAUCCCUGGUGUUGAGAGUACAAGGAAUAAAGCAAGAUUUGUUGUAAGAGGUUUUGUUCAAGAGAGAGGUAUUGACAUUAAUGAAGUAUUUUCUCCUGUUGUUCGUCAUACUUCAAUACGUAUAUUACUUGCUUUAGUUGCCUUGUAUGAUUUGGAGCUGGAAUAGUUAGAUGUGAAAACUGCUUUUCUUCAUGGUAAUCUUGAGGAAGAGAUUUACAUCCAGCAGCCUGAGGGCUUCGUUGUUCCUGGAAAGGAGGACCAUGUAUGUCGUUUGAAGAGAUCUCUCUAUGGCUUGAAGUAAUCACCAAGACAAUGGUAUAAGAGGUUUGAUUCUUUCAUGAUUGGACAUGGAUACUCCAGAAGUAGCUAUGAUAACUGUGUUUAUUUUCAAAAGACAUCUGAUGGGUCAUUUAUAUACUUGUUGUUAUAUGUUGAUGACAUGUUGAUUGCCGUAAGAGAUAAAUCUUUAGUUAACAAGUUAAAGGCCCAACUUAGCAGUGAAUUUGAUAUGAAAGACUUAGGUCCUGCCAAGAAAAUUUUGGGAAUGGAGAUCAACAGAGAUCGACUAGCUGGAAAACUUUUUCUAUCACAAAAGAAGUAUGUUCUUAAGAUGCUUGACAAAUUUGGAAUGCGAGAUUGCAAAGUUGUUAAUACUCCAAUUGCCACCCACUUCAAGUUGUCAUCAGAUCAGUGUCCAAAACCAGACGAGGACAAAAGACGCAUGUCACAUGUCCCGUAUUCAAAUGCAAUUGGAAGUCUCAUGUAUGCAAUGGUAUGUACUAGACCUAAUUUAGCUUAUGCUGUUAGCAUUGUUAGCAGGUUCAUGCAUAAUCCAGGCAAGGCACACUAGGAAGCCGUUAAAUGGAUACUUCAUUAUCUGAAAGGUUCUCCAGAUCUUGGUUUGGUAUUUGAUCAACAUAGAGCCGAUCCCGGAGGAGCAGUUGGCUAUGUUAAUGCUGACUAUGGUGGUGAUUUAGAUCGGAGAAGGUCACUUUCAGCCUACAUUUUUACCCUAUGUGGGUCUGCUAUCAGUUGGUAUUCUUCACUUCAAGCCAUUGCGGUUUUGUCCACCACUGAAGCAUAAUAUAUUGCUGCUACAAAAGGAAUGAAGGAGGCUAUAUGGCUUCGAGGCUUGGUAAGUGAACUUGGUCUUCAACAAGAUGUUCUUGUUAUAUUUUGUGAUAGUUAGAGUGUUGUCCACUUGACCAGGAACAGUAAGUAUCACUCAAGGACCAAGCACAUUGAAAUUAAACACCAUUUUAUCCGAGACAUUGUUGAUACAGGAGAUAUAAUUGUUGAAAAAAUUCAUACGGCCGAAAAUCCUGCAGACAUGUUGACCAAGCCACUUCCAUCGGCUAAGUUCGAUCAUUGCCUGAACUUAGCUGGUAUUAUCCAUACUUAAUCAAGGCUUCAUCUUUAUUGUGGAGAUUUGUGGGUUAUGACUCACCUUUAUUGUUAUCUUGGCAUUAAUGGGAGGUUACUUGCCACACUUAAUUGCAAUCAAUGGGAGGUUAAUUGCCGCAAUCAAUUGCAAUUAAUGGGAGGUUAAUUGCCACAAACAAUUGCAAUCAAUGGGAGAUUAAUUACCAUUAAUUGAAUUUAUUAUUGUUGUCUCCUAGAACCACUAUAUAUAGUGGCUUCCUUCAAGCAAUGUAACACACAACAUACAGCAACACACAACAUACAGCAACACACACUUGCUUCCUCUCUCUUUUCCUAUACUCUCUAUUUCAUCUCUUGGGUGUAAGUGUUUAACCCAUAUAGAGAGGAUUUGUUUUGGGGCUAUUUAUCUAUUAGCUAGAGAGGAAUUCAUUGUACUCCCAGUACCAUUAUAGUGGAAGUUUUGGCUCUCUCGCUGGUGGUUUUUUACCUCUAUUUAAAGGGGUUUUCUACCUAAAAAUUAUGGUAUCAUUCUCACUUUACUUGUUACUUUAAUUUCUCAUAAUCUUUGGUUGAAAUUAUUACGCUUCCGCUCAUGGUAUCCCUACAGGUUGGUUUGGUAGCCUUGUGUUACUUUUUUAUUGUAGCCUUACAGCUGCUGGUUUGGUUUCCCUUUGGAUCACAACAUCAUGCUUUUUUUAGUUUUCAUGGGUUUGCAAGCAUAAGCUAUAGGUUUUCUAUGAUUAUCUUUUUUUUUCUAAGUUCGAUUUUAACAUGAUUGAAACAUUCUUGAAAUAGUUUAUAUUUAUUAAUUUUUACUUGGAUAAAAACUUUAUAUAUGAAACAUAAAAGCCUAAUCAAUAAAAAGUACACAUUUGUAAUUUUUAACCAUUAGCGGUAUUUGUCUACAUGGUUAUUUUUUGAAUUUUUUAAAGAUUAUAUUUGGACAUAUCAAAUGAAUAUGCUAAAAAUGAAAAAAAUUGACAAAAGAAACAUCGACAAAGCAAAUACAAUAAACAGUUCAAUUCAAGUAAAGCCAAGGAAGCACAAUCUGAGGAGUGAGAAACAGGGUAAAAUAAGUAUGAAUCUCGUAACUAUGAACUAUACUCAAAGAAAUACAAGGAAAGGAUUAGAAAAAAUAAAUUGCAAUGAAAGACACAAGGAUUAAUUCCAUAACUCAGUUCUCAAAAAAACAUAAAUGACUUACUAGAACUCACAUUAGAGUUUUCUUUAUGAAUUUAAGGAGAGAUAUUUUCUUUGGUACAGGCUCCUUUUCCAAGUCAUUUGAUUCAUCACAUAUCAAAUAGGCAGUUGUGUUCUUGACCACCAAUCCAUUACCAAAACUCACAAAAAUCUCCACCUUGUCUCCUGAUCCUAAAUUUGACAUUAUGCCCGGCCAAUCUUCAUCAUUAGAGGAAAUUACCGUGCCAUGGUUGUGUAUUUGGCAUGUGCAAUUCGUGUAAUUAACAAUUAAGACAGUAGUAAGUUUAGGUUCAAUGAUUUUGGAGGUUGAUAAAUAAUCAACACAGAAAGCCAUUCCCUUCACGACACGAUCUUGUGGCACAGUUAAAGAAACAGAAUGUCCAUCACCCAUAUGGGCCAACCAAUAAGGAUCAUUGUCACCUGGGAGAGAAACAUCACAUGACUCACUGCUUGCAAAUACCUGUUUCAUGUCAUAAACAAGGGCAUGUUUAGUUAAGCAAAAAUGUUAUACAUGAUUAAAACAAAUCUGGUUCAUAGUUUUGUUGUGUAUACAUCCCCAUCUCUUCUUUAGUGAUUUAGUCUGUUUUUGUCUCUUAGUUUAUAUUUCUACGAUCAAUGGGAAUAAAGCAAUCAUGAAGCUAGUAAACCAAGAAAGUGGAAAUAAAUUUGGUAGUAGAUAUUAUAAGCAUAAUGCCUUGCUUGGUUGAUUACUAACAUCAGAUACUUUCAUUAGGAAUAUAUUAUGAUCUCAGAAAUAAUAGCUAAAAUGAUGGUUAAGGUAAUAAACACAAGGAAAACUAGAAGAACCUUAGGUAUGUUAUCGCUUACAGUAUUGAAGAAUUCUUUGUAUCUUCCAACACCAGUCAGAAAAGACUUGAGGUGAUUCUUUGAAAUUGCUGAUUCUGUAUUAUUUCCACCAUAUUCGACCACUGUAGUUUUUACUUGUUCAGAUAGAUGAAACUCGGCGUCACAUUCCACCAGAACAGUUCGGAGAUUCGCGAGGCUUCUAAGAAAUGGUGCAAUAUCAUCCCAACUAUUAUCCUCCAUAUCCAUGAAGGGAUGAAUAUAAGAUAGGGGAUUCAUUGUUGGCGACAUCCGAGACCGAAUGAUAGAAGGAAAAAGAUUAUGUGACAAUCCCUCACUUCCACGUAGGGAUAUAUAUCCAAUGAUUUUUGGGCUUACAAUUGUAAAAGGCAAUUGUUUCAUAACUGUAUUUUCAGCCAUUAGAGUUAUCAAGGAUUUCAUUCGUACUAUAUCUUUUUCCAUUAGGUCAAUCUUUAAACAACCAGAUAGAAUCAGAGUUUUUAAACAUUUCAGCUUAUAUAUCUCUCUGGGGAGAUUGCUUAGACUUGUACAGUCCUUCAAAUUUAGCAGUAUAAGAUUGCAGAGACGUCCAAUAGAUCGGUGUACUUUGCGCAAUCUUGGACAAUCUUUGAGAAUGAGCUGUUCAAGACUUGGUAGUCCGGAAAAGUGAGGGGUUUCUCUCAAGUACUUGGAGUGACUAAGAUUAAGGAUUUUUAGCCACGCCAAAACCUUCAUAGUUUUGAUAAAAUAUUAAGGAAGUAAAUGAGAACGAAAUAGUUAUAAGUGAAAACAAAUAACAAUUUUAAAAGAGAAUGGCACGUGAUAAAAACCUGGGGUUCUUUCCAAAGGAAUCGAAGAAGACUGUGUUUUACAUCAAUGGCUAUUGCAUCAUGCAGAUAAAAGUCGUUAGGUAGAUAUUCUGAAGAAAACCCUCGCAAACUGAUCCAUCUUAGUUUCUUAAGAUGGUAAUCUCUACCUAAUUUCAGCAGUCUUGAUGGGUCGCUUACAUGUAAAGGAUAGCUUCCGAAGAAAUCUCUUCCGGUAGGCAAUCUCUGAAUGAUUUUUGUGCCCUUAGAUGAAAAGAGCUAAGAAAAAGAAAUAUAUUGCACAUGAGAUUCCAAAAGGAGUUUAAAAAAGCAUAGAUAAAGGAUGUUCUUACCGUAUUCUCUGACAGUGAAUAUCUUGCGUCUUUAUCAAACCACAGUUUACUGUUCUUCUCAGGUUCCUUUCCUGAAAUUUGACGAAUAAUUUCUCUUCCCAUUUCUCGUAGCAAUGGAUGCAUUAUUAAUUUGUUGUCCUUAUUAAUUUGUAUGAGACUAUGCUUUAUGAGAACUCUUAUUCCACUAUCAGCGUCUAUUCCACAGCCAUUUAGGAUCUUCGUAACAUAGCUUCUGCUCUUACCAACAAAGGAACAACAUACAUCAAGAAAUAAAUCUUUUUCCAUUUGAUUGCGUAAACGGUCGAAACUUAUUUUCAAUUUCCUUUGAAGAUCGUGCUGGGGAAUAUUGUCUAAUCGUAACAAUACUGAAUUCCAUUCUUCUUUCGUCCUUUCAUAUAAAUAACUUCCAAUGACUUCAAGAGCUAGAGGUAGUCCUCCACAAUAAGAAACUACUCUUUCUGCAAGUACAUGGUAUUCUUGUUUUGGUUUUGCUUCUCUAAAUGCGUGCCAACUAAGAAGCUCAAGGGACUCGUUUGCGUUCAUUAACUUUACCUGAAAAACAGAAUCAACUUCAUAUAUCCUCGGUAGGUUUUCAGGUAUUGUUGUAAUGAUUAUUACACUUCCUCCUCCGAACCAAUGACGGUAUUCCCAUAGUAGUUCUCUAUUAAACUCAGGCACAUCGUCAAGUACAAUGAGCACCCUUUUCCCAGAAAGUCUUUCCCGAAUCAUAGUUCUUCCCAUCUCAAAGCUAUCUAUCUCUACCUUUGAUUUUAGGACAUCUGAAAGGAGUUGUUCUAGUACACGAAGAUCCCCUCUUAUUCUGCUAACUUGUCCAAUAUCUUCAAUGAAACUUUUCUCCGUGAAUGUAUCAUGAAUUUGAUGGUAGAUGGCUUUAGCAAGGGUGGUUUUACCAGAUCCUCCCUGUCCACAUAUCGCUAUCUUACAAACUUCCGUAGAUUUGUAUUUGAUAGUUCGAAUCAGGUCCUCCAUGUGCGAUUGUAAUCCAACUGGAAAUUUGGUAGCAGACAAGACUGGUAAAUUAAGAACGGUCUUAACAAUUUCGUCCACUAGUUCAGCAUCACUCCUUCAAUUCAAUAGCAAUUAUAGAAGAAGUCAUGUAUUACAAAACAAAAAUCAGAAGCUUAAAUAGUUCNNNNNNNNNNNNNNNNNNNNNNNNNNNNNNNNNNNNNNNNNNNNNNNNNNNNNNNNNNNNNNNNNNNNNNNNNNNNNNNNNNNNNNNNNNNNNNNNNNNNAGUAUUACACUAUUUUUUUCAAUUAUAUUCUCUUUUUUUCUAAAUUUACCUAUUAACUUUACUUUUUAUUUAAGAAAGCAUUAUGUUAUCUCUCUUUUUCUGUUAGGCACGUAUCUCUUUAAAUUUUAAAAGAAUAAAAAAUAAAUUUUCUUUCCCUAUUAACGUAUAUUUAAAGAGGCCACUGUAAUAAUGAAAGAAAAAUAGAAAGUAUAAAUACAAUUUAGAUAAACGUCACUACAUCUGAAUUUAUUUUUUAAAUAAAUAAAAUAAAAGAAUUGGACGUCAGUUUACUAAAAUUUAUGAAGUUUAUUAUCAAUUACUAAAAAUACAAAUGAGGUGAGUGUAAUUGAUUUUAUUAAGAAGACAAAGUAAAAGUAAUUUUCCCUUUUAUUUGAAUACAAAAUUAUAUGGCAUAUUUUUAUAACAUUAUUUCAAUAUCAUUAUGUUAAAUUAUUAAACACAUUUUUAUUGGAAAUAAGCUGAAAUGGAUGACAAGUUGUUUAGCUAAGUUUACAUUUUUGGUAAAGGAUUGUCGAACUUUAUGGUUGAAAUUGAGUGAUGAUCUCUACAUUCAAAUCCGUAAGAGUUAAGAAUGAAUGAGCAAAUAAAAAAAAAAAUAUUGAAUUAAAUUAAGAAUAUUCUCCCAGGUGAUAUUUAUAAAGUUUUGAACCUAUAACUUAUUUCAAUAAUGACUACUAAGCCGAUUGUUAGGAAAAUGUGGAGUGAUUACUUUUCAAGUACUAGAGAUAUAAGUUGUACUAGUUAGUUGUCAUGGUUAUGGGUGGAUAUUAACUGCUAUAUAUUUUCCUAUACUAGGUAGUACAAAACAUUUUCUUUUUUUUUCUUCAUUUAUAAUCACUUGGAAUUGUAGUUUGCUGGUCUAGUAUGUCUAAACUCAAAAAAAAAAAAAACAUGAAAAGUUAUCUCAUUUUAACUUUUGUCUUCGUGUCAUUUAGUUAUUCUCCUUUAUGAAGCGGCGUUCUCCAUAUGUGUGUAGUCGGUGGUCGCCGAAGUUAUUUGAAACGGCGUUCUCCAUAUGUAUGUAGUCGGUGGUCGCCAAAGUUAUAUAAGGUCAACAGAAUCGCCGGUCGUUGAAACGACGAUCUCAAUGCGUGCGUAGUCGGUGGAUGUCGAAGUGAUGCAAAGGUUAACAUGAUCGCCGGUCGACGAACGGCGAUCUCCAUGCGUGCGUAGUCGGUGAUCGUCGAAGUUAUGCAAAUGUCAACAUGAUCGCCGGUCGAGGAAGUGGCGUUCUCUAUAUGGGUGUAGUCGGUGGUCGCCGAAGGCAAUGUGCAUGGGUAACUCGUCGCGUGGCGAGGUGAAUGUAGAGGGCCUCGGUUUUGGGCGUCUCGAGUUGUAUGUUGCUUAAGGUAACCUGUUGGCUGUUUUUUGAGUAUGGUUUUCUCACUUUAAGGUUGCUCUGCCCCAACCAUAAAGGAGAGUCUCUUUUGUAGAUGAUAUAGGAAGUCCACUUCUGGGUUACUGUAUAUGGGUUGGGAUACCCCUGAAGUAUCCCUUAAUUUUAUUUAUUCAUUGCUUAUAAAAAAAAACAGUUUUAUCCUCUCUUUUUGUGUUCCUCAAAGUUUGGAAUGACCAUGUUGAUUGCUCUAAAAUCAUUAAAGAUGUUUAACAAUGUUCUUAUUUGAGUUAUUCCACAUUUAACUUGUGACAAAAGCUCAAAAGUGUCAAGGUGGCCUUGAAAUGUUGAAACAAAAGUGUGUUUGGUGAUGUUAAUAAAAUUUGUUCUUGAUAAACAAGUUGUUCUUAUUGGCAUUCAAAAUAAAUUGUGGCACAAAGUGAUUGUGUUUUGGCUGACUUGAUAUCUUUAUGAUCUAACUUUGGCGUUAGAUAUACAAUAAAAACUUUGGCAAGUGAAAGCUUGUGUUGUUGGUACAAUGAUGGUGAUAGAGGUACUAAUUUUUUUUCAUGUUAUUUUUAAGGGUGUUUCUUUCUACAUUCUAACAACUUUUUCUCUGCACCUCAUAUUUUUUUAAAACUUUGUUUUACCUUUUAAAAAUGACUUUUAAAUUACUCUUUCUAAAAUGUUUUGGAACAUAUUUUUUGGAACAAUUUUAUGAAUUUCGGAUUUACCAUUUUAGAAGUAAAAAAAAUUAGUCCCCUAAUAGAUUUUUUGUUUUCUGAAUUUCCUAUUCCGAAAACACCUUUUAUUUACCUAACACUUCCUAUUUCGAAAUCAUCCAAAAUUGUCUAAGAGUAAUUUAGGUAUUUCAAAAAAAUAUAGGAUAUAGAAAGAAACACCCUGCUUUUAAAUAUAGAAGGGUCGUCACAUUUCAAUGUUGGUUGAGUAUAAUAUUAUCUUGACUGAAAAAUAACAAAGUGAUUCACUUAUUUGCAUUGGCACUAAUCAUAAUUUGAUUGCUAUGAAUAGUUUUGUGUACUCUUAUGGUUUCUAACUUUGGAAAUGAUUUAAUUACUCUUGAUCCUACUAACGAAGAGAUAAAGAUUCUGAUUUUCAAUCUUAAUGUUGUUCUUUGUCUUUUUUGGAGGUUUCUUUUUUAAAACUUACUAGGAUUUAGUUUGCAAUAACAAUUAUAAAGUUAUCAAGUAAUCUUUCUCUCAAAAUUGGAUCUCCCUAAUAAGAACUCUAGUGUUAUCUCUCUUUUUUCUUAAGUGUUAGGCGUUGAGAAUCUUAAAAGACUUUCAUAUCCUAAAACUAUUACUAAUUUUUGUUUUAAAAUCAUUACUAAAUUUUUGGCCGAUAGACUAAGUAAUAUUGCUAGUUGUAUUAUGUACCCUCAUUAAAAUAGUUUUGUUAAAGGAAGGUGAAUUAGUGAUAGUAUUUGCAUUGCCUCCAAGGGUAUUAAUAUGCCCUAUUCUAAAGCUAAAGGAGUAAUGUGGCCAAUGAUAUAAAGAAGACUUUUUGACACUCUCAAUUGGGACUUCCUACUCUCUAUUUUGCAUAAAUUUAUUUUCAUGAUAAGUUCUGCAACUGGGUUAAAACUAUUUUGCACUCGACAUUUAAUGGUGGACUGGUUGACUAUUUUACUUUCAGGGAAUCAAAGCUCACUACAUAGCCGAAAGCCACAAACAAAAUUGAAAAGAUUGGACAAAGCUUGUACUUUGGUACCAAUUUUUGAACUGCACUAUGCAUGAAAUGUGCAAAAUUCUACUGCAGCAACAUAAAUUCUUCAAAUUGGUAGUGCAGCAAAACUGCACUAUUCUAAUUUCUUAUGCAGCAAAAUAUUUCUAAUAAACCACGGUGCCAUUACCUUAGUAUAAAGGAUGAAGCUACGGAGCUUCUUAUGUUGAAACAAAAACAGAGAAUACAUAGCAUAUAGCAAGGCGAAACACAUAACAAAUUAUCGAACCGCAGCUAUCUUUAUUUCAUAAUGUAAUAUCUUUUAAGAGGAUUUCUGAAUGAGAUAUUAUAUGCUAAAAAGGGAAAAGAAUUGACAAAAGUAACAACGACUAAGUAAAUAUAAUAAACAGUUCAAGUAAAGUUAAGGAAGCACAAUGUGAGGAGUGAGAAACAGGGUAUAAUAAGUAUGAAUCUCGUAACUAUGAGCUAUACAAAGAAAAACAAGGAAAGGAUGAGAAAAAAUAAAUUGCAAUGAAGGAGAUAAAUGACUUACAAGAACUCACAUUAGAGUUUUCUUUAUGAAUUUAAGGAGAGAGUUUUUCUUUGGCACAGGCUCCUUUUCUAAGUCAUUUGAUUCACUACAUAUCAGAUAGACAGUUGUGUUCUUAACCACCAAAUCGUGACCAAAACUCACAAAAAUAUCCACCUUGUCUCCUGAUCCUAAAUUUGACACUAUGUCAGGCCAAUCUUCAUCAUUAAAGGAAAUUACCGAGCCAUGGUUGUGUAUUUGGCAUGUGCAAUUCGUGUAAUUAACAAUUAAGACAGUACUAAGUUUAGGUUCAAUAAUUUCCGAGCUUGAUAAAUAAACAACACACAAAGUCAUUCCCUUUACGACACGAUCUUGUGGCACAGUGAAAGAAACAGAAUGUCCAUCACCCUUAUGGGCCAACCAAUAAGGAUCAUUGUCACCUGGGAGAGAAACAUCACAUGACUCACUGCUUGCAAAUUCCUGUAUCAUGUCAUAAACAAGGGCAUGUUUAGUUAAACAAAAAUGUUAUACAUGAUUAAAACAAAUCUGGUUAAUAGUUUUGUUGUGUAUACAUCCCCAGCUUUUCUUUAGUGAUUUAGUGUGUUUUUGUCUCUUAGUUUAUAUUUCUACGUACGAUCAAUGGGAAUCAAGCAAUCAUGAAGCUAGUAAAGCAAGAAAGUGAGAUCUAUUUGGUAGUAUAAGCAUAAUGACUUGUUAGUUGAUUACUAAAACCAGAUAUUUUUAGAUGAAGUCGUGGUGCUAAAAGUUCAGUAUUGUAGUUUCUACAAGAUACUUAAUUAUGAUUAUUUUAAGUUCUCUCAAAUAAUAGCUAAAAUGAUGGUGAAGGUAAUAAACAAAGGGAAAGCAAGGGAAGAACCUUAGGUAUGAUAUCGCUCACAGUAUUGAGGAAUUCUCUGUAUCUUCCAACACCAGUCAGAGCAUACCUUAGGUGAUGCUUUGAAAGCACUGAUUCUCUAACAUUUGCACCAUAUUCGGCCACUAUGGUUUUUACUUGCUCAGAUAGUUGAAACUCGGCAUCGCAUUGCACUGAAACACUUCGAAGAUUUGUGAGGCUGCUAAGCAAUGGUGAUAUUUCAUCCCAAUUAUUAUCUUCCAUAUGCAUAAAGGAAUGAAUAUAAGAUAGGGGAUUCAUUGUUGGCGACAUCCGAGACCGAAUGAUAGAAGGAAAAAGAUUAUGUGAAAAUCCCUCAAAUCCACGUAGGAAUAUAUAUCCAAUACUUUUUGGGCUUACAAUUGUAAAAAGCAAUUGUUUCAUAACUCUAUUUUCAGCAAUUAUAGUUAUCAGGGAUUUCAUUCGCACUAUAUCUUUUUCCAUUAGGUCCAUCUUCGAACAACCAGAUAGAAUCAGAGUUUUUAAGGAUUUCAACUUAUAUAUCUUUCUGGGAAGAUUGCUUAGAUUUGUACAGUCCUGCAAAUUUAGCAGUAAAAGAUUGCAGAGCCAUCCAAUAGAAGGGUGUACUUGUCUCAAUCUUGGACAAUCUUUGAGAAUGAGCUGUUCAAGACUUGGUGUUCGAUAAAAGACAGGGGUUUCUAUUAAAUACUUGGAGUGACUAAGAUCAAGGACUUUUAGCCACGUCAAAACCUUUAAGAACAUAGUUUUUGGUAUAUUAGAGAAGAAAACGACAAAACUAAAUAGUUAUAAGUAGAAACAAAUAAUAAUUUUAAAAGAGAAUGGCACGUGAUAAAAACCUGGGAUCCUUUCCAAACGAAUCGAAGAAGACUGUGUUUUACAUCAAUGACUAUUGCAUCAUGCAUAUAAAAGUCGUGAGCUAGAUAUUCUGAAGAAAACCCUCGCAAACUGAUCCAUCUCAGUUUCUUAAGAAGUCUUGAUGGGUCUCUUGCCUGUGAAUGAUCGCGUCCAAAUAAAUCACUUCCAGUAGGCAAUCUCUGAAUGACUUUUGUGCCAUUAGAUGAAAAGAGCUAAGAAAAAGAAAUAUAUUGCACAUGAGAAAGCAACCACUUUCAAAAGAAGUUUCAAAAGCAUAGAUAAAGGAUGUUCUUACCGUAUUCUCUGACAGUGCAUAUUCUGCAUUAUUAUCAAACCACCACAGUUGACUGUUCUUCCAAGGUUCCUUUGUUGAACUUUGAUGAAUAAUUUCUCUUCCCAUUUCUCGUAACAAUGGAUGCAUUCUUAAUUUGUUAUUCUUAUUAAUUUGUAUGAGACUAUGCUUUAUGAGAACUCUUAUUCCACUAUCAGCGUCUAUUCCACAGCCAUUUAGGAUCUUCGUAACAUAGCUUCUGCUCUUACCAACAAAGGAACAACAUACAUCAAGAAAUAAAUCUUUUUCCAUUUGAUUGCUUAAACCGUCGAAACUUAUUUUCAAUUUCCAUAGAACAUCAAGCUGGGGAAUAUUUUCUAAUAGUAACAAUACUGAAUUCCAUUCUUCUUUGGUCCUUUCAUAUAAAUAACUUCCAAUGACUUCAAGAGCUAGAGGUAAUCCUCCACAAUAAGAAACUACUGUUUUUGCAAGGAAAUGGUAUUCUUGUUUUGGUUUUGCUUCUCGAAAUGCGUGCCAACUAAGAAGCUCAAGGGACUCGUUUGCGUUCAUUAACUUUACCUGAAGAACAGAAUCAGCUUCAUAUAUCCUCACUAGGUUGUCAGGUCUUGUUGUAAUAAUUAUUACACUUCCUCCUCCGAACCAAUGACAGCAUUCCCAUAGUAAUUGUCCAUUAAAACUCAGGCACAUCGUCAAUUACAAUGAGUACCCUUUUCCCAGAAAGUCUUUCCCGAAUCAUACUUCUUCCCAUCUCAAAGCUAUCUGUCUUCACCUUUGUUUUUAGGACAUCUGAAAGGAGUUUUUCUAGUAAACGAAGAUCCCCUCUUAUUCCGCUAAAUUGCCCAAUACCUUCAAUGAAACUUUUCUCUGUGAAUGUACCAUGAAUUUGAUGGUAGAUGGCUUUGGCAAGGGUGGUUUUGCCAGAUCCUCCCUGUCCACAUAUUGCUAUCCUACAAACUUCCGUGGAUUUAUAUUUGAUAGUUCGAAUCAGAUCCUCCACUUGGAAUUGUAAUCCAACUGGAAAUUUAGUAGCAGACAAGACUGGUAAGUGAAGAACAGUCUUAACAAUUUUGUCCACUAGUUCAGCAUCACUCCUUCAAGUUCAAUAGCAAUUAUAGAACAAGUCACGUAUUACCAAAAUUAAAUCACAAACUUAAAAUAUGCGUGAGUGAUUUACCUGUAAUUGCUCUCAUCCCAUCCAAAGAAAUUUGCAGCUUUGGUGAGUGCGUGGCUCCAUCUGGACAUGCCAUGCCUCAGUUGUUGUGGUGAGAAUGUUUGGUGUGCAGUUGCUUUGAAGGCUUUUCCAAAAUCACCCAUCUGAAGACGCACAUCAGAUGGCUGAAUUUCGUAAUAAACGGGCAGAAGAUGUCGACAAUAAGUUUCUUGCCAUCUAAUGAUUUGUUGAAGCUGAUGAAGACACCAAGAAGAUUGAGAAUAGGAUUUGGUGAAAACAACAAUUGCUACACGAGAGAGAUUGAGAAUAGGUUGUUGGAUGUGAAUUGGGUUGUCUGCAUUGGGGUGGUGAAGGAAAGUGGUGAAGCCAACAGCAGAGAGAGCAGAAUCGAGAUGAGAAACAAAUUUCCUUUGGAUGUCUUCUCCAUUAAAGUUUAUGACCACUUCGUACAUCAGUGGGAUUUUGAAUGAUGAAGAGGCCAAUUCCAUGGAAGGUCAACGAUUAGAAGAAAAGAGAACAAAAAUGCAACACAGUCAAGACAAAAAACCAUUCAAAGAAGCCAAAGAUUAAUACAUUUCUUUUUUAUAGUCGUGGAAGCUCAUGAAUUGCAGCACCCAUUUUACUUUAGAAAAAUAAUAUAUUUACAACUUGUUCUAUUAUACAACUUUCAUUUAAAAAAAUAUAUAUAUUUUCAUUAUUUUAUAAAAAACUAAAAUUUUAGACCAAAAAAAAAAGAUUAUAUACUAGAACAGGCUCUCAAUAUAUCAAUAUUAUUUACUUUAGCCAUUUAAGAAGUUAGACCAACACCCACUCUGAACCAAAAAAACGUAUUACACUAUUUUUUUCUAAUUAUAUUCUCUUUUUUUCUAAAUUUACCUAUUAACUUUACUUUUUAUUUUAGAAAGCAUUAUGUUCUCUCUCUUUUACGUUAGGCACGUAUCACUUUAAAUUUUAAAAGAAUAAAAAAUAAUACAUUUUCUUUCCACAUAUAUUUAAAGAGGCCGCUGUAAUAAUGUAAAAAAAUAGAAAGUAUAAAUACAAUUUAGAUAAACGUCACUACAUCUGAAUUUAUUUUUUAAAUAAAUAAAAUAAAAGAAUUGGACGUCAGUUUACUAAAAUUUAUGAAGUUUAUUAUCAAUUACUAAAAAUACAAAUGAGGUGAGUGUAAUUGAUUUUAUUAAGAAGACAAAGUAAAAGUAAUUUUCCCUUUUAUUUGAAUACAAAAUUAUAUGGCAUAUUUUUAUAACAUUAUUUCAAUAUCAUUAUGUUAAAUUAUUAAACACAUUUUUAUUGGAAAUAAGCUGAAAUGGAUGACAAGUUGUUUAGCUAAGUUUACAUUUUUGGUAAAGGAUUGUCGAACUUUAUGGUUGAAAUUGAGUGAUGAUCUCUACAUUCAAAUCCGUAAAUGUAACUUAUAUCAAUAAGUGUCAUUGUUAUCAGAUAUUAGGUGUGGAGUGGUGUCAUUGUUAUCGGAUAUUAGGUGUGGAGUGGUUAUUUUCCAGUACUAGAGAUAUAAUUGGUACUAGUUAAUUCUCACCGUUGUGGGUGGAUAUUAACUGUUAUAUCUUUCCCUAUACUACGUAGUAAAAAAAAAAUCUUCAUUUAUAUUCACUUGGAAUUAUAGUUUGCUGGUCUAGUAUGUCUAAACUAAAAAAAAACAUGAAAAGUUAUCUCAUUUUAACUUUUUUUUCAUCUAGUUUGCUCAUGUUAUUUAGUUAUUGUAGGGAUAUCGAUCGUGUGUGGAAGCGUGAUAAUUUCAACCAAAGAUUAUGAGAAAUUAAAGUAACAAGAAAAAGAGAAUGAUAUCAGAAAUUUUUAGGUGGAAAACCCCUUUAAAUAGAGAUAAAAAAUCAUCGGCGAGAGAGUCAAAACUUCCACUAUAAUGGUAAUAGGAGUACAAUGAAUUCCUCUCAGGCUAAUAGAUAAAUAGCCCCAAAACAAAUCCUCUCUAUAUGGGUUAAACACUUACACCCAAGAGAUGAAAUAGAGAGUAUAGGAACUGUAUGUUGUGUGUUGCUGUAUGUUGUGUGUUACAUUGCUUGAAGGAAGCCACUAUAUAUAGUGGUUCUAGGAGACAACAAUAAUAAAUUCAAUUAAUGGUAAUUAAUCUCCCAUUGAUUGCAAUUGUUUGUGGCAAUUAACCUCCUUUGAUUACAAUUAAUUGUAGUAAGUAACCUCCCAAUUAAUUGUAGUAAGUAACCAAGUAACCUCCCAUUAAUGCCAAGAUAACAAUAAAGGUGAGUCAUAACCCACAAAUCUCCACAAUAAAGAUGAAGCCUUGAUUAAGUAUGGAUAAUACCAGCUAAGUUCAGGCAAUGAUCGAACUUAGCCGAUGGAAGUGGCUUGGUCAACAUGUUUGCAGGAUUUUCGGCCGUAUGAAUUUUUUCAACAAUUAUAUCUCCCGUAUCAAUAAUGUCUUGGAUAAAAUGGUGCUUAAUUUCAAUGUGCUUGGUCCUUGAGUGAUACUUACUGUUCCUGGUCAAGUGGACAACACUCUAACUAUCACAAAAUAUAAUGGCAGAACCUAAGUCCUUCAUAUCAAAUUCACUAUUAAGCUGGGCCUUUAACUUGAUAACUAAAGAUUUAUCUCUUGCGGCAAUCAACAUGUCAUCAACAUAUAACAACAAGUAUAUAAAUGACCCAUCACAUGUCUUUUGAAAAUAGACACAAUUAUCAUAGCUACUUCUAGAGUAGCCAUGUCCAACCAUGAAAGAAUCAAACCUCUUAUACCAUUGUCUUGGUGAUUGCUUCAAGCCGUAGAGAUUUCUUCAAACGACAUACAUGGUCCUCCUUUCCAGGAACAACGAACCCCUCAGGCUGCUGGAUGUAAAUCUCUUCCUCAAGAUUACCAUGAAUUUUAUUUUAUUUUAUUUUUUUUAUCGGCAUUUUUAUUCAAGAUUACCAUGAAUAAAAACAGUUUUCACAUCUAAUUGUUCCAGCUCCAAAUCAUACAAGGCAACUAAAACAAGUAAUAUACGUAUUGAAGUAUGACGAACAACCGGAGAAAAUACUUCAUUAAAGACAAUACCUUUCUCUUGAUCAAAAACCUCUUACAACAAAUCUUGUUUUAUUCCUUGUACUCUCAAAGGGAUCCCUUCUUUUCUCUUGAAGAUCCACUUUCUGUUGGAGGCAGUGAAGCUUACUUGGUGAAGUGAAUUCUGCGUUUUUUCUCAUGGUUUCCUGUUCGUGUUUUUUUUUUUUUACGUUUCUUCUUGUAUAUCUAUUGAGUUUUGGGCCUUUCAGUUCUGUAUCUUGGGCUAAAGCCCAACCUAUUGUAUUGUGUAAUUUAUAUAUAACGUGCACCAUACAAUGUAAUAACACAUAUAGCAGUUUUAUUUUUAAGAAACAAUAUCAUCUUUGAAGGAUUAAGGCACUGCCCUUCAACACAACCACAACAUGGAGGAUUUUAGAAAAUAAAAUUGUUACAAAGGCCAAUUUGAAAAAAGAUGUAGGAUAAUUAUGAUGAGUAAUAUUUUCAGUAUAUGUGGGGAAGAAGAUGAGACAACAUGUAAUAUAUUUUUUAAGUGUAGAGUGGUUUGCCUAGUACGGGGUGGUAUGUUUUAAUACGUGUUGUGAAAUAAAAUGGGCAAUGGUUUAUUGGAUUAUGCAGGAAACAAGAAUUGGCAAUAUUUUAAAAUUAGACAUAAAAAAAUAUAAUCAUUGUAAAUAACGAGAAAUGAAAUCAAACUUUGUUUAAUUUAGUCUUUAAGGGAUGAGGCUACGGUGCUUCUUAUGUUGAAAAAUACGAGAAUUUCUGAAUGCAAUAUUAUAUGCUAAAAAGGCAAAAGAAUGGACAAAAGUAAAAACUACAAAGCAAAUACAAUAAACAGUUCAAGUAAAGCCAAGGAAGCAAGAACUGAGAAACAGGUAAAAUGAGUAUGAAUCUCAUAACUACGAGCUAUACUCAAUGAAAAACAAGGAAAGGAUCAGAAAAGAUAAAUUGCAAUGAAGGACACAAGGAUUAAACAGCAGCUGUCUUUAUAUCAUAAUGCAAUGUCUUAUUUUAAGAGGAUUCCUAUUGAAAUAUUAUAUGCUAAAAGGGAAAAUAAUUGACAAAAGUAAAAUCCAGAAAAAAAAAAAUACAAUAAACAGCUCAAGCAAAGCCAAGGAAGCACCACUGAGGACUGAGAAACAGGGUAAAAUAAACAUGAUUCAAAAAAGAACAUAAAUGACAUACCAGAAAAGUCACAUUACAAUUUUCUUUAUGAAUCUAAUGACGGAAUUUUUCCUUGGCUCACCAUAUAUCAGAUAGACAGCUGUGUUCUUAAUCACCAAAUCGUGACCAAAAUUCACAAAAAUCUCCACCUUGUCACCUGAUCCUAAACUUGACAAUAUGUCAUGCCAAUCUUCAUCAUUAAAGGAAAUUACUGUGCCAUGAUUGUGUAUUUGGCAUGUGCACUUCGUGUAAUUAACAAUUAAGACAGUACUAAGUUCAGGUUCAAUGAUUUCGGAGGUUGAUAAAUAAACAACACACAAAGCCAUUCCCUUCACGACACGAUGUUGUGGCACAGUGAAAGAAACAGAAUGUCCAUCACCCAUAUGGGCCAACCAAUAAGGAUCAUUGUCACCUGGGAGAGAAACAUCACAUGACUCACUGCUUCCAAAUACCUGUAUCAUGUCAUAAACAAGGGCAUGUUUAGUUACAUGAUUGAAACAAAUUUGGUUAAUAGUUUUGUUUUGUAUAUAUCACCAUCAUUUUGCAUUUCUAUUUUUGUCUCUCUUAGUUUAUAUUUAUACGAUCAUUGGGAAUAAAAAAACCAUGAAGUAAACAAGUAACUGGAAAACAAUUUGCAUGUACUUAGGCUAAGCAUAAUCACUUGGUUAUUUGACUAUUCAACUAAAAUACUUUUAGAUGAAGUCGUGGGGCUAUAGAAGCGAAGGGUGCUAAAAGUUCAGUAGUGUAGUUUCUACUAAUACUUCAUUAGGAUUAUUUUAUGUUCUCAGAAAUAAUAGCUAAAAUGAUGGUGAAGGUAAUAAACAAAGGGAAAGCUAGAGAAGAACCUUGGGUAUGCUAUCGCUCACAGUAUUGAAGAAUUCUUUGUAUCUUCCAACACCAGUGAGAGAAGACCUGAAAUUAUUCUUUGAAAUUCCUGAUUCUGUAAUAUUUGCAUCAUAUUCGAGCAAUAUAGUUUUUACUUGCUCAUAUAGUUCAAACUUGGCGUCACAUUGCACCAAAACACUUCGAAGAUUUGCAAGGCUGCUAAGCAAUGGUGAAAUAUCAUCCCAACUAUUAUCCUCCAUAUCCAUGAAGGAAUGAAUAUAAGAUAAGGGAUUCAUUGUUCGCGACAUCAGAGACCGAAUCACAGAAGGAAAAAGAUUAUGUGAUAAUCCCUCAAAUCCAGGUAGAAAUAAAUAUGCAAAGCUUUUUGAGCUUACAAUUGAAAAAGGCACUUGUUUCACAUCUGUAUUUUCAGAAAUUAGAGUUAUCAAGGAUUCCAUUUGCACUAUAUCUUUUUCCAAUAGGUCAAUUUUGGAACAACCAGAUAUAAUGAGAGUUUUCAAAGAUUUCAACAUACAUAUCUCUCUGGGAAGAGUGCUUAGACUUGUACAGUCCUUCAAAUUUAGCAAUAUAAGAUUGCAGAGACAUCCAAUAGAUUGGUGUUCUUGGCGCAAUCUAGGACAAUCUUUGAGAACGAGUUCUUCAAGACUUGGUAGUCUCGAAAAGUCAGGGGUUUUUGUCAAGUACUUCGAGUGACUAAGAUUCAGGACUUUUAGACACGCCAAAACCUUCAAGAAGAUAAUUUUUGAUAAAAUAUUAGAGACCGUAAAUGAGAAAAUGAAAUAGUUAUAAGUGGAAACAAAUAAUUAUUUUAAAAGAUAAUACACGUGAUAAAAACCUGGGGUUCUUUCCAAACGAAUCGAAGAAGACUGUGUUUUAAGUCAAUCACUAUUGCAUCAUGCAGAUAAAAGUCGUUAGGUAGGUAUUCUGAAGAAAACCCUCUCAAACUGAUCCAUCUCAGUUUCUUAAAAUGGUACCUCAGAAUCUCCAGCGAGUUUCAGCAGUCUUGAUGGGUCUCUUACCUCUGAAGGAUAGCGUCCGAAGAAAUCUCUUCCGGUAGGCAAUCUCUGAAUGACUUUUGUGUCCUUAAUUUCAAUGUAGCACAUGAGAAAGCAACCACUUCCAAAAGAAGUUUCAAAACCAUACAUAAAGGAUGAUCUUACCGUAUUCUCUGACCAUGAAUAUCUGUCAUCCUUAUCAAACCACCACAGUUGACUGUUCUUCCCAGGUUUCUUUGUUGAAAUUUGACGAAUAAUUUCUCUUCCCAUUUCUAGUAGCAACGGAUGCAUUCCUAAUUUGCUGUUUUCUUUAACUUUUAUAAGGUUACUCUUUAUGAGAACUCUUAUUCCACUAUCAGGGUCUACUCCACAGCCAUUUAGGAUCUUCGUAACAUUGGCUCUGCUUUUACCAACAAAGAAACAACAUACAUGAAGGAAUAAAUCCUUUUCUAUUUGAUUAGCUAAACCGUCGAAGCUUAUUUUCAAUAUCUGAUCAAAUUUAAGCUUGGGAAUUUUCUUUAAUUUUAAGAGUACUCUAUUCCAUUCUUCUUUGGUCCUUUCAUAUAAAUAACUUCCAAUCACUUCAAAAGAUAGAGGUAGUCCUCCACAAUAAGCAACUACUUCUUGUGCACGGAAAUUAUAUUCUAGUUUUGGUUUUUCUUCUCUAAAUGCGUGCCAACUAAGAAGCUCAAGGGACUCGUUUCUGUUCAUUGGAAUCAUCCGAAAAACAGAAUCAACUUGAAGCAUACUCGGUAGGUCUUCAUCUCUCGCUGUAAUGAUUAUUACAGUUCCUUCGCCGAAUCGUGAACUACUUCCCCAGAGGUCUAAUUGGCCAUACUUAUUCAAAUCGUCAAGUACAAGAAGCACCCUUUUCCCAUAAAGUCUUUCCCGAAUCAUAGUUCUUCCCAUCUCAACGUCACUUAUCUCCACCUUUGUUUUUAGUACAUCUGAAAGAAGUUGUUCUUGUAAAUGAACAUACCCUCUUGUUUGACUAACUUGUGCAAUAUCUUCAAUGAAACUUUUCUCCGUGAAUGUAUGAUGAAUUUGAUUGUAGAUGGCUUUGGCAAGAGUGGUUCUACCCGAUCCUCCCAUUCCACAUAUCGCUAUAGUAAAAACUUGGGUGGAUUUACUUUUUAUGGUUAGAAUCACAUCUUCCACACGGGAUUGUAAUCCAACUGGAAAUUUUGUAGCAGACAAGAUUGGUAAAUGAAGAACGAUCUUAACAAUUUUGUCCACUAGUUCAGCAUCACUCCUUCAAGUUCAAUAGCAAUCAAAGAAGAAGUCAUGUAGUACCACCAUAAAAUCAGAAGCUUAAAAUACGGUUGAUUGAGUCAGUGUUUUACCUGUGAUUUCUCUCAUCCCAUCCAAAGAAAUUUGCAGCUUUGGUGAGUGCGUGGCUCCACCUGGACAUGCCAUGCUCCAGUUGUUGUCCUGAGAAUGUUUGUUGUGCAGUUGCUUUGAAGGCUUUUCCAAAAUCACCCUUUUGAAGACGUACAUGAGAUGGGUGAAUUUCGUAAUAAACGGGCAGAACAUGUCGGCUAUAAGUUUGGUGCCAUUUGAUGAUUUGUUGAAGCUGAUUAAGACACCAAGCAGAUUGAGAAUAGGAUUUGGUAAAAACAACAAUUGCUACCCGACAGAGAUUGAGAAUAGGUUGUUGGAUGUGCGUUGGGUUCACUGCAUUGGGGUGGUGAAGGAAAGUGGUGAAGCCAACAGCAGAGAGUGCAGAAUCGAGAUGAGAAACAAAUCUCCUUUGGAUGUCUUCUCCAUUAAAGUUGAUAAGCACAUCGUACAUCCGUGGCAGAUUUGAUGAUGAAGAUGACGAUUCCAUGGAAGAAGAUUAAUCUUUGCAGCACUAACCUGGUUUUUUUAAUAUAAUUAUCUUUUCUCCCACUCUUUUUGGUUCUUAAAACAAAAGUUAAAUGUUUUAUGGUAUUUCAACUUUGUUUUCAUCAGCACUUUUUGUUUUAUUUUAGCUUAUAAUUUUUUAUGUAAAUUUUGAUACACAAUAUUUAUAUAGGUGCCGACCAAAAAAAAAUUAUAUAGGUUAUUUUAUCAUAAAAUUUGCUUUUAGACUCAAAUGAGAUAAUAAGUUCACAAACAACUGUAAUUUUAACAUCUUUUAACAUUAUUACUUUACAUUUGAAGAGUUGACUUCAAUUCCUUUGAUGGAGUUCUCUUCUUCGUCGUCAUCAUCUUCAUCCUUCUUAAAAUCAGAAUCCAGUUCAUAUACGAUGUGUUCAUUAACUCUUGGGGAAAAGAAAUCGGUAGAAAGUUGGUUUCUCAUCUCCAUUCUCUCCUUUUACAAGCUCAAGUCAAAACUUUGAUUAAGGAGGAGAAUCUGCAGGAGGGAAUGGAGCUGGAAGAACACAUGCAAGCAAUAGCAGCCUCUAAGAUUGCAAUAAUCGUUUUCUCCAAGUCAUACACUGAAUUUUUACCUGCUGUCUUCUUCAGCUUGAAAAAAUCAUUGAAUGCCACGAAACUUUUGGCCAAAUAGUUCUGCCCAUAUUUUACGAGAUUGACCCAUUAGACGUACGCGAUCAGAAGGAUGAUUUGGGAAAAGCGUUGGAAGAAGCUGCACACAAAAGCUAUUCAGGAGAGCAACUGGAACAUGCAUUGUCUAGGUGGAGGUGUGCACUCACCACUUCUGCAGGUAUUAGUGGUUGGGAUGUCAAAGAUUUCAGGUAAACAAAUGAAUUCUUCGUACUUUGUUUGAGACUGAAUGAAGCAUAUGUUAAGGUUGUGAUUUACUUUAAUGAACUAGCAAGAAACACAGUUGCUUAUUGUGGAGGACUACCACUAGCUCUUAAGGUCCUUGGUUCCUUUUUAUGUGAUAAGACAAUGAAAGAGUGGGAAAGUGUAUCGUCAAAACUAAAAAUAAUUCCCAUGGAUCAAGUUCAAAACAUAUUGAAAAUAAGUUUCGACGGUUUACGUAAUCACAUGGAAAAGGAUGUAUUUCUUGAUAUAUGUUUUUC